CUCGUCCCUAUAGGCGGUGUUAUGCGCGUCUGAAACAUGGGUACCCAAUCCACGAGGAAGUGGAGCAAAUCAGGGCAAGACAGAGAGAAAUGGCUGAAAUGUCCAGGGCACGAGUGGAGAGAGGUGAACCAUCCUCAUUGGAUGAUACCUCUUCCGAUUCCUCUUCUGAUACCUCUUCCGAUUCCUCUUCUGAUUCCUCUUCUGAGAUAUAAUCGUAAUGAAGCUUAGGAUUGGAACAUGCGGUGGCUGCAGCUGUUGGAUUGCCUUUUCUGUUCAUUCAUGGCGGAUAGAUACUACUUUGUUGGUUGUUUUCUCGCGUGUUUAAUUACGUUCUUGGAAUAGCUAGUUGCGCAUGUUGGUCGGAUUUCCUUUGCUUGUAGGCUUCUACUGCUUGUCUUGGAAUAACUUUGAAACGAAUCAACCGCUAUCAAAUACUAAUCUCACCAGAAUUCAUAUAACGUAGAAUCUCACCGGAAGACUAAUCCAAUACUGCAACCACAAAGAUAUUGGAAUUAAUAUUCCUAGUAUCAAUGAAGAAAUGGGACUAAGUUGCCUAUAUGCUUGCCUAAAUUCUUCCGAAAGUUAUCUGCUUUCUAUCAAUUGUAUGCACGCAUAUGCAUAUAAAGUGUUGUAUAGCCUUUGUAAAUUAGCUUGGAGUUGUUUAAAAACUUCAGUCUUAUGAAUUGCCAAUUUAAUUAGUACAUCCAAGCAAUCAUCUAAGUGAAAAUUAGGUCCUUAAACUAUUUUUUUUUUCAGAAAAAUGAAUUAUAAAAAUAUGCCAAUUGCAUCCCUAAUAUUAUAGUCAAAACUACUAUAUUCAAUUUUCCGUCAAUUUAAGUCACGGUACUUGCAUGUAAUACAUAUUGGAAGGUAGAUUAGUAGUUAACUUUGGAGGAUAAAUUAGUAGUUUUUCAUAAGAAAUAGUGUAAGUUAACUUUGGAGAUUAAAUUAGACGUUAGAUUCGCAAUCUAUAUUAAAUGUUAAGGGUUUAUAGGCGAGAAAAUGACGAUAUUACACUUUUAAGGUGUAUCAAGUGAUUUAAGUUGAUGAAAAAUUGGAUAAAAUAGCUUUGAAUAUAAUAGUAGGGAUCAAAUUAGCAAUUUUUAAUGAAUUUAGGGACUUAUUUUAUUAAAAAAAAUUCAGGGACCUAAUUUUCACUGAAAUAAUAGUAUUAAAUCAGCACUUCACCAUUAUUUUUAUAGAAGAAUGAACACAUGUUUCGGGUGCAAUGCAAAGUCACAACACUUUCAACGUUCCAGAACUAGGACGUUGUCCCAAUGGUUUUGCCCCAAAUGCAUGUAAUAGACGAUAUUUUCCGUUGCAAAUUUCAAUUUAUCUGUCGAUUGAUGAAUUGAUUAAUUGAAGCCAGGACUGAUUAUGAGUUGCAAUCUUCAACCGAGAUUCUUCACUUAUUUCCAUGGAGAAUCAGUGCCGGUGAAGACGUUAAGUUAUAUAUUGUCAGAUCUGUAACGGAAUGGAACGCUGAAGAUUUCACGUCAUCUGUGAAAUUCUGUUGUAUAACAUGAAGCAGUAAAAUUGAAUAUGGUUGACUAAUACUGUUGCUAAAAUGUUGUUAAUCGCAGAAACUCUAGCGUAAGUUGAUGGAAAGCAUCAACGAUCGUAUACUCUUGGGCUGUUCAUAUCAGCAUUUUUUUUCAACUUCAACUAAGUAGAUCUCUAAUUGUUCAGUUAGUUUAUCGUACGUACUAUUAUUAUAGCUAGAUUAGCAGUCAUGAACCUAGACCUCGGGUUUACAGAAAUCAUGGCCACCCACCGUUUGAUCUUAAUCCAACGGUAGUAAGGCCAAGUACUGAUGGCACAGUACAUUUUUUCUUCCAAAAUUUUGAGCCUGCUAGAGUGACUCGAAUAGGAGAAACCCUCCAAGUCUGAGAGUACCACAAAAUUAGCAUCAGGUUUUUCCAGCUUCCGUUUUAACGUCACUCUGCCAUAGAAAGUAGCUAGUGAAUGGAGUUGAAGCGCACAAGGAACGUGUACUAGCAGCAAAACAGAAGGCCAACCCUAAAUCCUAGAAGAGGCGGGACUUGCAUUGGAAGCAACUGCGGCAGCAAGCCUCAAGAGGCAACAAUUUUGGCAGCUGACUAAGCAGUUGAGAUGUUUUCUUAGAUUAAGCUGCAACCAUCCGUAAAUGCAGAUUUCGCUUCCAACAAUGCUCAGGUCAUAUCUUAGCUGCUGUUUUAUUUAUGAUUUCUCUUGCCUUUCUCUAAUUUUUAGUUAACCUAGCUUGUUUCAACAAGAUUUAGAACGGCCUUCUAUUUGUUUUAAUUUUUUUAAAUUUUCGUGAAGGCUAGUUACUAGAUGGCCACCUCUUUAACAUAUAUAUAGUCGUUUGUAUAUGUACAUAUAUGUACAUCUAUAUAUAUAUAUAUGUGUGUGUGUGUGUGUAUUGUUACGAUUCGCUAACUUUUCUUCUAGAGAUAAAUAACUCAGACUCGUCUAGAUUUUUUUGGGGCAUGUAAAUUUUGCUAAUUUAGGAAUAACAAGUAGGUGGUAGUUACAACUGCAUGCUCCAAUGCAACAAAGGAGUAUUUGGGGAGGCACAAAGACAAGAUGGUUAGAGAAUUUGGUUAUACUAUCGUUCCCUCCACACAUUCUUAUCUCCCUAGCUCUAGAAUAUUUAAGAGAGAGAGAGAGAGAGAGAGUUGAUGAGAAUAUAGCACAGCUUCAGUGCCAAGACGUUGCCAAGGAGAGCGUACGACAGUGGUUCUCCGUCAGGGAUUUGUUUCGUUCAGAGCCGGAGACAUUUCUACGUAAGCAUGCAGGUUAGAGUUUGAUGGAGAGUUGAAUUAAUUCACAGAAGGUGAGAAAUGGGAAGAGGUCAAACACAAAAGAAGGCGGGGGAGGUGGUGGCUGUAGCAAUAGACAAUGACAAGGGCAGCCAACAUGCUCUCAAAUGGACUAUUGAUAGUCUUGUCACCAGAGGUCAAGCUCUCACGCUGCUCCAAGUUAGACAAAUAACCGCAAUUCCCACGCAAAGUACAUUCUCUCUCUCUGUAUGUGUGUGUGUGUGUGUAAAUGCAUGAAUGCAUAAGAUGCUGAUGAUGAUCGUAAUUUACUAAUGUACGUCACCAGCCACAAAGGAGGUUGAAAAGGCUCAAGCCAAAGAGUUGUUUCAACCAUUCCGCUGCUUUUGCACGAAAAAACUUGUGAGUAAUGCUUCUUCCCUUCAUAAAAGUGAUAGUGCAUUGCCUAUCCCGCUCCAUGAACAGUUGAGCGGAAUCCCUCGUUUCGCAACGUGAUUUGUAGUUGUACUGCUUAUUUGAUUUUUGCAACAGCUAAAAUGCAAUGAAGUCAUGAUCGAGGAUAAAAACAUAGCAAAAGCACUGGUAAACUAUGUUGUCAAUAAUUCAAUCGACAUUUUGGUACUUGGUGCGCCGUCGAGAAGCGGCCUUCUCAGGUACUGAUUUCUUCUCCAAGUUAUAUCUCAGUUCAUAUGCACCAACACUGUAAAAUUCAUCAGAAAAAUAGUAUCAAAGAGAACAAGCAUCAAUCGUAAAAUGUAUAAAUCAUUCAUUUAUUUGAAUGGAACUAUAACUGUAGGUAGUUAAGUAUUACAUCUUUAAAAUCCAAUGAACUAAGAAAACUUUCAUACAUCUGUCUCAACUAAUACCAGCUUACAUACGCCGAAAAUUUGAUGGUUUGAGAAAUCAUUUAUUCAAGAUCUGGUUCCGCACGUUGUAGUCUUACCUCAGUUUUUUCUUCUCGGAAGCCAUCAAUUACGCAUGCAUCAUAAUUAUAUCAAUCUCGUCACAGAUUCAAAACAACGGACGUUCCAAACAGUCUCAAAAGAGGCACCGAGUUUCUGCACUGUGUAUGUCGUUGGCGAGGGAAAGAUAUCAUAUAUGCGAGCUGUUACCACUUCACUGUCCCAGAAAGCUUACUUGCCUAAUCAAAAACGGCACCAAACAAACAAAGCUUCUGACACAAAUGAUACGCAAUUCAGCCACAACCAGCAAUGCAGAGGUUGGCCAGAUUCGGUUUUUUCUUUCUUUUUUUUUUAGGUCGAAAGUUCAGAUUAUGUUCUAGCAUCUGUUAUUUCCCACCUCACGUCUGGUUUCUUGUCAUUACUCAAACAAGUUUCUGUGACCAAUACAGCAUGGGAGAGGACGCAGUAUCCACCACAAAGCCAGCAAUAAGGAGCAUGCCUCCAACUACAAACUUGACAGCAGAAACUAAUAUACCACAAAUGAUUAUCCGAGCCAGUUCUGGUGUCCCAAUAUCAUUCCUUCAAUAAUUGAUACCUAAUUAGUACAAGACUCCCCAGCAGGAUAUUAUGCUCACAUAUAUAAAUGUAGAGUUGAUGUUUAAAUAGUCUUAAGGCUCCACAACAACAGGAUGUUUUUGCCAGAAAUUAUACCGAGGAAAUUAUUUAUAUGUACGUAGCAUCAACUUCCCAACAAUUUAGGCUUCUUGUGAAAGUAGAAAAGCUAACAGUUUCAUCUGUUAAUUUAAGAAGGUACUUUUCAAGCCAAUGAAACUAUAAAGAAAACCCAAGCCCGGAUAAAGGAGGAGGGGGAGGGCGUCAGGUAGUCGACAGCCGGCACUCCAUGAUCACGUCGAAACCUUAUGAAAAUGAAUCCAGAACAAAAUCGCGCUAAAGCUAGGGCGUCACCCGUAAGUGGCGCGCUGUGUGGCCCGAGCACAGUGAUAAGUGAGCAAGGGUCGCUGUAUCUCCAUCGGCACCCGGAUGCAGUGUUAAAUGAGCAAGGGGGCCAUAGAAACUUCUUUUCGAACGACUCCACUCAAAGUUGUUUGGGAGCAUAUGCUCCUAUCAACUUUACCCGGGACACACAAAAGAAGUACUUUGAUCCUAUUAGACGGGGGAGGGUGAAGAAGCUAGGACAGAAGGGUAGAGUUCAAGAGAGCAAAAUGCGUUUAGGAACGUGGAAUAUAGGAACCUUAACGGGAAAAUCUAUGGAAGUAGUGGAAGUUAUGGUGAGGAGAAGGAUCAAUAUUAUGUGCCUACAAGAAACUAAGUGGGUUGGUAGUAAGGCAAAGGAUCUAGAAAACUCAGGGUUUAAACUUUGGUAUUUGGGCACAAAUAGAACGAGAAACGGUGUUGGCAUCAUCGUGGACAAGACCUUGGUACAGGAUGUUGUAGAUGUCAAGAGGGUAGGAGAUAGAAUCAUGGCAAUCAAGAUUGUAAUAGGACAAGAACUUAUCAAUGUGAUUAGUGCGUACGCACCUCAAGUAGGGUUGGAUACGAGUUCGAAGGAGAAAUUUUGGGAAGAUCUUGGAGACUUGGUGCAAGGAAUUGCUCAGACGGAGAAGUUAUUUAUAGGAGGAGAUUUAAAUGGACACGUGGGGCAGGGAGACAGGCAACUAUGGAGGUUUUCAUGGUGGCCAUGGUUUUGGGGAGAGAAACGAGGAUGGGGAAGCUAUCUUGGAUUUUGCAAUGGCAUAUGAUCUCUUCUUAGCCAAUACCUUCUUUAAGAAGAGAGAAGAACAUGUGAUCACCUACAAGAGUAGGUCGUCAAAAACACAAAUAGAUUUUCUUCUAAUGAGGAAAGGGGAUCGUAUAAACUUGUAAGGAUUGCAAAGUUAUACCAGGAGAGAGCGUGGCUAAUCAACAUCGCUUGUUGGUGAUGGAUGUACAUAUCAAAAGAGUGAGACAAAAGAACAAGACUUGGAAGUGCCCAAGGAUUAGAUGGUGGAAUCUAAAAGAAGAAAAACAAGCCAUUUUCAAAGAGAAAGUAAUCACCCAGUGUGUGUGGGAUAGAGAGGGGGAAGCUAGCCAAAUGUGGGAUUCCAUGGCUAGUUGUAUCCGAAAAGUAGCAAAAGAGGUAUUAGGAGAGUCCAAGGGCUUUGCCCCACACCAAAAAGGAAUCUUGGUGGUGGAAUGAGGAGGUACAAACAAAGGUGAAGGCUAAGAAGGAAUGUUGUAAAGCCUUAUACAAGGAUAGGACUGAUGAAAAUGGUGAAAGGUAUAGAAAAGCGAAGCAAGAGGCGAAGAAAGCUGUGAGAAAAGCUAAGUUAGCGGCUUACGACGAUAUGUAUAAACGACUAGAUACCAAAGAAGGAGAGUUGGAUAUCUAUAAACUAGCUAGAGCAAGGGAAAAGAAGACAAGGGACCUAAACCAAGUGAGGUGCAUCAAGGAUGAGGAUGGAAAGGUUCUUGCUACAGAGAACGCGGUUAAAGACAGAUGGAGAGGUUAUUUUCAUAAUCUUUUCAAUGAAGGACAUGAAAGGAGUGCUUCUUUAGGGGAGUUGAGUAACUCAGAAGAGUGUAGAAACUACUCUUUUUAUCGUCGAAUCCGGAAGGAAGAAGUGGUUGUAGCUUUGAAGAAGAUGAAGCAUAGAAAAGCAAUAGGCCCAGACGAUAUACCAAUCGAAGUGUGGAAAGUUUUGGGAGAGACAGGGAUAACAUGGCUCACUGACCUUUUCAAUAGGAUUUUGAAAACGAAGAAGAUGCCAAAUGAGUGGCGAACGAGCACUUUGGUGCCUAUCUACAAGAAUAAGGGCGACGUACAAAAUUGCAUGAACUAUAGGGGUAUUAAGCUAAUGAGUCAUACAAUGAAGCUCUGGGAGAGAGUCAUUGAGCAUAGAUUGAGGCAAGAGACACGGGUUUCGGACAACCAAUUCGGGUUCAUGCCAGGGCGCUCAACCAUGGAGGCAAUCUAUCUCUUACGAAGAUUGAUGGAAAGAUAUAGAGAUGGGAAAAAGGAUUUACACAUGGUCUUUAUAGAUUUGGAGAAAGCGUACGAUAGGGUCCCAAGAGACAUUCUUUGGAGGAUUUUAGAGAAGAAAGGAGUACGAGUAGCAUAUAUCCAAGCUAUAAAGGAUAUGUAUGAAGGAGCAAAGACUGCCGUAAGAACUCAUGAAGGACAAACUGAAAGCUUUCCCAUAACUGUAGGAUUACAUCAAGGCUCAUCCUUAAGUCCCUACCUUUUUGCGUUGGUAAUGGAUGAGUUAACAAGACAUAUUCAAUAUGAUAUUCCUUGGUGUAUGCUUUUCGCAGACGAUAUAGUGUUGAUAGAUGAAACUCAGGAAGGGGUAAAUGCAAAGCUUAACCUUUGGAGAGAAGUGUUGGAAUCAUCAAAGACAGAAUAUAUGGAGUGCAAGUUCAGUGCAAAUGGAGGCCAAAACGAGUUAGGGGUGAGGAUCGGUGAUCAAGAAAUACCAAAGAGCGAUCGUUUUCGUUGCCUAGGAUCUAUCUUGCAAAAGAACGGAGAAUUAGAUGGAGAUCUCAACCAUAGAAUACAAGCUGGAUGGAUGAAGUGGAAGAGUGCAUCCGGCGUGUUGUGUGACCGUCGCAUGCCACUGAAGCUCAAGGGAAAAUUUUAUAGGACGGCAAUAAGGCCGGCGAUGCUGUAUGGCACAGAAUGUUGGGCGGUGAAGCAUCAACACGUACACAAAAUGGGUGUAGCGGAGAUGAGGAUGCUUCGUUGGAUGUGUGGGCACACGAGAAAGGAUAAGAUUAGGAAUGAGGAUAUCCGGGGUAAAGUAGGAGUAGCCGAAAUUGAAGGAAAGAUGAGAGAAAAUCGGUUACGAUGGUUUGGACAUGUGCAAAGAAGGCCUACUGAUGCUCCGAUUAGAAGAUGCGACUAUGGGACAGAGGUUCAGGGCCGAAGGGGUAGAGGAAGACCUAGGAAAACUUUGGAAGAGACUCUAAGAAAAGACUUAGAGUACUUGGAUCUAACGAAAGACAUGACACAGGACCGAGCACAAUGGUGCUCUAAGAUUCAUAUAGCCGAUCCCAUUCAGUGACUUGGAUUUCCCAAGUCCCCAAUCGAGAAGUUUUCCUCCACUCACAAAGUUUCAACAAUAGAAAAUUCAAAGAACUUAGCGAAGAAGGCUUUAGUGUAUUUAACACAAUACGUCGAAAUGAAGGAAAGCUUAUUUAUUGAUAUCUCCGAUAAGCUACAAAUACGUACAUAUACAUAAGUCAAAAUAAACAAACAAGAGGGAGCCUUCACAAAGGUUGCUUAGGAGAAGUCUCAGCAGUCGGUAGAGCCCCAGAAAGAGAAGGCACCGGAGGGGGAUCAUUCGGAGCCUCAGUACUGGACAGAACCCUAGAAGGAGGAGGCAUCAGAGGUUGAUCAUUUGGAGCUUCAUUACGCGGUACAGCCCCAGAAGACGAAGGCAAUAAAUGCCUUUGGAACAAACCCACAAAUCUCUGAUGAUCAAGUAAAACCUGACCAUCAGAUUCCUUCAUCUGGUCAAGCUUCCUCUUCAUGUUUGUAGCAUAGUCAUGUGCGAGCCGGUGCAACUGUUUAUUCUCAUGCUUGAGCCCUCUAAUCUCCUGUUUGAGACUCAUCACUUCAGCCGCCAAUGAUUCAACUUGGCGGGUUCGAGCAAAUAGGCGCUGGGCCAUAUUAGACACAGAACCUGCACACUGAACACUAAGAGCCAGAGAAUCCUUAACAGCUAACUCAUCAGACCGUUUGGAAAGUAGUCUGUUAUCUUUGGGAGUGAGAAGGUUCCUGGCCACCACUGCAGCGGUCAUAUCAUUUUUCAUCACGGAAUCCCCAACGGUAAGAGGACCAGUAGGGGAGACGAAGGAUGGGUGCCAUAUGUUGUCUGGAGAAGGUGGGGCUGCCUCUUCAACAGGGUUCAAGUCAAAACGACGGUCGGAGGGGAUUCAAGUGUGCUUUGGAACUUAAUGCCAGCCCCUAUAAAAACCUGCACUCUACGGAGCUUCAGAAAUCGAAGAUGCGCCUGCUCAGAAAUCGAAGAGGCGUUUGCUUUCUCAAAAGCUAGGCUGCUCAGAGACCACGAGGGUCGAUCUCAGAAAUCGAAGAGGCGUUUGCUUUCUCAAAAGUUGGGCUGCUUAAAGACUACGAAGGCCGAUCUCAGAAAUCGAAAGGCGCUUGCUUUCUCAAAAGAUGGGAUGCUGACCACGAGGGCCAAUCUUAGCAAUCGAAGGGGCACCUACUUUUCCAGCCUUGUCAACAUCUGUCACACGCACACUCAGCUAUGCGGAAAUUGUGGGCAUUCUGUCGAAGACUUCUGGUGAAGUAGACAGCAACAGUAGCUCAUGGGUACCAUAGAUAACUUUGCCAAAGUUCUCUGCCAAAGUUGAGCACGUGAAGCUUGCAGCUCCCACUACAUCGCUCUGAUCAAGAAGGGUAAAAGAAUAGCAAAGAAACAGCACUAACAAAGUUUAGACACAUAAAUUUUAAAGGUCUAGCUACCAUAUUAUUACCCAUAAGGGUAAAGGAACAGUACCACAGCUGGAUAAUUAGAAAGUCCCUGUGUGUCAACCUCUGUGCUUCGUGGCACGGUAGACUAGCAAACAUGCCUAACCUUUACUCACAUUCGAGAAAACACUCCCAACAAGAUUGCUUGCUCCAAAAUCAAAGAUGCACCGUCCUCCGAAUCUCGAGAGCCAGACUCCCAACAUGACUACUUUCUCAAAAAUCGAAGAGAGGGUAAAGGAACAGUACCAUUGCUGGAUAAUUGGAAAGUCCCUGUGUGUUAACCUCUGUGCUUCGUGGCAAGGUAGACUAGCAAACAUACCCAACCUUUACUCACAUUCGAGAAAACACUCCCAACAAGAUUGCUUGCUCCAAAAUCGAAGAGGCACUGCCUUCCGCAUCUCGAGAGCCAGACUCCCAACAUGAUUACUUUCUCAAACAUCGAAGAGACACCGCUCUCCGAAUCUCGAGAGCCAGAUCCCCAUCAGGAUUGCUUUCUCAAAAAUCGAAGAGGCAUCGUCUCCAAAUCUCGAGAGCCAGAUCCCCGAUAGGAUUGCUUGUUCGAAAACCGAAGAGGCAGCACUUCCCCAACUUCAAGAGCCGGAUCUCCUUGGAUAAAGCUGUCUGUAAUCGUCACACGCAACAUCAGCUUUCCAGAUACCACAGACCACUUUUUCAAAGUGCUCUGACAGAGUUAAAACAUGUGAAGCUGGCAGCUCCCACUACCGUGCUAUGACCAAGCAAGGUAAAGGAAUAGCAUUACUACUUGCUGUUAAGGAGACUCCUAUAUAUGUCGACCUCCAUUCCCAACGGACAGACAGAUCUGCAAAAAUGCUCAACCCUUCUUCAUAUCUGAAAGGGCACUCCCAACGAAGCCUUUCGAAAUAUUCAGCUUUCUUUCUCCCCGAUAUCAUGCUUUUUCCCUGUCUUUUCCUUUGGCCUUGUUCUUACCUGCAAGACAAGGAGAAAGAGAGCAAUCAGUCAGCACUUGGAAUCAAGCUUCCAGCCAGGAACUGACUGCCUGGAACUUACUUGGCAUUGCUCUCGAGUACUCAUCUUCAACAUCUUAUGCUUCCAGGGAAGAUACGCAUCUGCCUGAGGAACAAAUAAGGCAAGUGAGAAGGAUACAAAAAAGCAGGUAGAGACAAGCGUAACAGCACACGUGCCGAUACAUCCAUUACUCUGUCAAAGCAAAAGUAUCCCAUAUCAGCAGGGUCGAACGUACUCUAGAUUUGAUGGACUUGUUUUGACCCUCAAAUUCUUCAGUCGGCCUUAUACUUUGGAGGAAACCAGAAAACCCUCCAGCCCAGUUCAAGAAUAAGCCUGUGGAAAGUUACUUCUUCAAAAGCAAAAGUAUCCCAUAUCAUAUCUUCUCAUUUUUCUUCUCUUUAUCCUUCAUGCUGCCUGCAAGAUAGGGAGAAUGUGAACAAUCAGCCGGAGCUCUGAUUGCUUACCUUGUCUGUCACCUCUUUCAGCAGAUCCCCUAGCUCGGCGACUUGGGGGGCUCCUACUACAUGGUUUGUAUCACGCUUGACCAAGUUUAAAACUAAAAGUAAGCUUCAAGUGAAAUUGAUACAUUACCUUGUGCAUCUCCACCAGUUAAAGAUACCACCCCUGGAUGGAGGAAGAGUACUUCCAGAGAAGAUGCCACAUCUACCUAUGAGACAGAUAAGGCAAGUCAAGACGAUACCACACUCCGAUACUUAGAAGUUUCGUGAUUACGAGAUCAUUCUCCCACAAUAUUUCCUAAUGUCAUUUGUACUAAAUCAUUCACCUGUACUCACUAAAGGAGAGCUUGAAUCUAUGUACUUGUGUAAACCCUUCACAAUUAAUGAGAACUCCUCUAUUUCGUGGAUGUAGCCAAUCUGGGUGAACCACGUACAUCUUGUGUUUGCUUUCCUAUCUCUAUCUAUUUAUAUACUUAUCCACACUAAUGACCAGAGCAAUCUAGUGAAGAUCACGAAAAGCGACCGUUUUCGCUACCUAGGAUCUAUCGUGCAAGAGAACAGAGAAUUAGAUGGAGAUCUCAACCAUAGAAUACAAGCUGGAUGGAUGAAGUGUAAGAGUGCAUCCGGCGUGUUGUGUGACCGUCGUAGGCCACUGAAGCUCAAGGGAAAAUUUUAUAGGACGGCAAUAAGGCUAUGUGACUACGAGACAGAGGUUUAGGGCCGAAGGGGUAGAGGAAGACCUAGGAAAACUUUGGAAGAGACUCUAAGAAAAGACUUAGAGUACUUGGAUCUAACGGAGGACAGGACACAAAACCGAGCGCAAUGGCGUUCUAGGAUUCAUAUAGCCGACCCCACUUAGUGGGAAAAGGCUUUGUUGUUGUUGUUGUUGUAAGGUUUCAUAGCAGGUUUACGAAGCAUAGAAGGGAAACUGCAGUAAACAGAAAACAAAACAGACUUGAGAGGAAUUAGUUUUGACUGCAGAUCAGUUUCAGCGUGAGGGAAUGAGAAGGAAUAGUAGUUGGAUUGCUCUUACCUUUGUUUCACACUCCUCAGAGUUUUCUUUCAGUCUGAAUGAAUGUAGCAUUUUCAUUUUAGCUUUUGAUAAGUUCAUAACAAUGGUAAGUCAUCCAUCAGCAAUAUCCAACUUCAUCUCAGCCUGAACACGGAGAUCCUACACAAGAUCCAUGAGACUAGGAAUGCAUUUUGCUUACCUAAAAUGAACAUAAUAAGAAAGUUCAGAUACGUACCCAUUCCAGAAUGCAGGACAAUGCAUAUAUGAGCUGCAUUUAUCACUUUGUUACAUACAUGCACUAAUUGAACCAAUAGAAUGCAAACUGGAACUGAUAGACAUAGCAUUAUCAGCGACAAUAAUCCUUUCCUAACAAUCAGUCAAACAUGCACAAUAUGCAGGUCGCUAGUCAGUAAUUCCAAAAGAUCUGAUUCCCCCGGUAUGUUUUUUUCAAAUAUACUGAAAUUAACUUCCUAUAAGUCCAUUCCCUUUGCCUCUGGAACUCCAAAAAUGCCUCUGAGCUUGCAUGAAAGUCUCCUUUUCCCAAAACUUCAAACACAAAUGGAUCCGUUAAUACCAAUGGGGAAUCAUCCAGAUUCAUUUUAUUGAGGGAAAAAUACAAAUUCCGUCCUAGUCUUCUAUCCAAGUAUGCAACAACAACACAGCCGCAAUGUUGAAUGGUAAUCUUGCUUCUAGAAAAGUGGCCGGUGCAUGCAUUGAAAAUGCUAGACAAUUGUAGCAUGAGAAUGGCAUGUGUUCAUUGUGUCCAUAAGCAAAGUCCAUGGUGGUGGGCUACUUUAGUAGAGUCAUGAAUAAUGGCUAGGAUGAUUUCACACUUGGUAUUCACACUUGGUAUGGUUGGUUAUACUUGCCUAUAAAUAGAGUAUGUUGUUAUGUUUAAGUAUUGAAGUAAGAAAAGAGAAAGAAGAAGAAGUAAGAGAGACAAGAAGGCUCUCUCCCUAAAAAAAGGGAAUUAGUAGAAGAAGCAUCCAUAGCUUCUAAGAGUGUUUGAGUGAUUCCUCUUGUAUUAGUUUGUGAGAAUAAAAGUUUUUUUGGUGUUAUACCUUGAGUGUUCUUUUUCUCUUGCCUAUCAAUUUCCGCUGCGUUACAUUCUUCUUUGGAGAUAAACAUCUCCAAAGUAGUGAAGUCUCUUUAAACCCCAACACGCAAGUCACAAGAUCAGGAACAACUUUCUCAUGUGUCAUGUGUUCAAGGCUAAGAUGGAGAGCCCACAGUAGAGACAUCUUUGAAAAGGCCAGAGCACGGAUAUUAAAUGUAGUAAGAUCGGGGCGGAAACCAGCUUCCACCAUUCUCAAAAAUUCUCUUUGUAAGCUUUUCAUCUUAAAAUUCGCAGCAUAUGAUAACAACAAAAGGUUCCACAGAAGAUUUCCCAAGUUUCUUCUACCUAGACCUUGUUGGUAUUGAAAAGUUUACUAACUCAAUACCAAAAUAUGUGGGUGAUAAGUUUACAAACUCUAUCACACCUCUCACUUUGCACUCUCAAUAAAAUUGGACAAAGAAAUAGAGAAAUGAGGGAAGCUACAAGCUUUGGCAAACAAUGCACUUUGAUGUAUUUAAAAGAGUUUACAAACACACUUCUGAAAAUGGAAUAACAAAUCAGAUUCAUGUUUCUAAAACCUUACGGGCUGCUUAUUUAUACAAGCAGAAAAUGAAGACCACUCAAGUGCUUUUAAUAAACUAAACCAACAACACACACAAACAGCUCAUAUGAACUUUGGACAGUCUAACACACAUAUGCAGCUAUCUUUCCAGCUUGCAAUCAACAUAGUUUCGGCUAGCACACCACAUGGCAGCACACAGCUGCUGUCUUUCAACACACUUUCAGCUGGCACAUGGAGAAAACUUUAGUCUUUGCAGUUGCAGCAAGUGUGAAUACAACCUGUAAAGAAACUAACAGCUAGGAGCUGCCAUUUACAACCUGUUUUGAUUUGAAUUUCCAACACACCUCCUCAAAUCAAAACGCCUUCAUUCCUAGCAUUUCACGUAGCAGCCGGAAUGAUUCAACUGGUAGUGGCUUAAAGAAGAUGUCUGCCACUUGUUCCUUCGUGUGACAAUAGACAAGUUCGAUUGUCUUUUGCUUUACAUGGUCCCUUAGAAAAUGGAACCUGGUAUCAAUGUGCUUGCUCCUUCCAUGUUGAACAGGAUUCUUUGCAAGCUUGAUUGCAGACAUGUUAUCCACAUGAAUCACAGUCGAUUCCACUUGUGGAUGACACACUGACUUCAAUAGAUUUCUUAACCAAAUUGCCUCACACACUGUUGAGGCUACAGCAACAUACUCGGCUUCACAUGAUGACGAAGCAAUAAUUGAUUGCUUCUUUGAAGUCCAUGAGAAAGUUGUUGAUCCUAGAAAAAACACAUAGCCAGUUGUGCUUUUCCUUUCAUCUUGGUCACCUCCCCAGUCACUAUCUGAAUAACCAAAUAAUUUUGCAUCUUCACCAAAAUUAUAAAACAGACCAUAGUUUAGAGUACCUCUUAUGUACCUCAAGAUUCUCUUGACAGCCAGCCAAUGAGACUCCCUUGGUGUUUCCAUGUACCGACUCACGAGUCCAACUCCAAUGGACCACAUAUAUCCUUGUGUACCAUCUACAGUGGUGCCUUUGCUCUCCAUGUAUCACCAACAGGGAAUGAUAGUCGUGCUUGCUUGCCAAGCACACAACCUUCACAUACUUGGCGUGUGGCUUCAAUCUGGGGUAGACCACGAACCAUUCCUCCAUUUGACAGCAACUUUAGGCCAUUGAAAUGAAGAUGGCCAUAUCGAAGAUGCCAUUUCCAUGACUCAUCUUCCAUUACACCAAUGUUGCAACUCCCAAUCUUUGUGUUCAACUUCAACGGGAACAUUCGGUUUUUUGACAUUUGAACACGUGCAAUAAGCUUUCUCCUUGCAUUCCUGAGAAUGAGAAACAUAUCCUCCAUAUGUAUAACAUACCCUUUCUGGAGCAGUUGACCAAUGCUCAGAAUGUUGCUCUUCAUACCUGGUAUGUAGUAGGUAUCGGAGAUGUAUUCUUCUUUACCAUCCUUCUGGAUGAUUUUGAUCUUUCCUUUGCCUUCAACUGGCAACUUUGAGGAGUCACCAAAACUCACAGAUCCAUAAGGCCCAUCUUUGAGUUCGGCAAAAAACUCUUUCUUUCCACACAUGUGGUUGCUUGCACCAGAGUCUAAAUACCAAACAUCUUGUUGGCUACUGAUAUCAUGGUGUGCUAGUAAGACUGUAAGUUCCUCACCAGCAUUUCCAUUUGAUUCUGCCAUGUUGACAUGCUCACCAUUUUUAUAUGAACAUUCAUUUGCAUAAUGUCCAUAUUGCUUGCAAGUGUGACAUUGGAUAUGCGCCUUUCCUCGGGUAGAUCUCCACUCUUAAGAUUGACCUCGAUUUUGUUCAUAGCCUCGACCUCUUCCUCGGGCUCAUCCUCGGUUACGGUUGGAUGAACUCCCACGACGUGAGUGCCCACAACCUUUAUUUGGUUUGUCAAUAUUCAACUUUGACUCCAAAGCUUGCUCUAGCGUUGUGGGGCUUGCAUUCUUCUGAAUGCGUUGCUCGUGAACUAGGAGGGAUCCUAGUAGCUCCUCUGCGCUCAUCGCCUCCAAAUCCUUGGAUUCCUCCAUGGCAGUCACCACAUGCUCAAACUUAGAUGUGAGUGACCGGAGUAUCUUCUCCACAACUCGUACUUCAUCGAGUCUCUCCCCAUUUCUCCUCAUCUGAUUUACUAUCACAAUGAGCCUUGAGUGAUAGUCGGAGAUGCUCUCCCCUUCAUUCAUGUGAGCAGUUUCAAAAUCUGCUCGAAGUGACUGUAAUCUCACUUUCUUGACUCGAUCUACUCCUUUGUAGAUUGUACUGAGUGUGUCUCAUACUUGCUUGCUCGUUGUUGCUUCUGCAACCUUCUCGAACGUUGAAUCUUCUAAUCCUUGAUAGAGAAGAUACAACGCCUUCUGGUCCUUCUUUCGUAAAUCCCUGAGAGUGUUCCUUUGAUCUGCAGUAUAUGUGGCUUCUUGCUCGGUAGUAGGUACAACAUACCCACUACUGACAACUUCCCAUAGCUCUUGUGAUCCAAACAAUGCUUUGAAUUGGAUGCACCAUCUUUCAUAAUUUUCUUUCUUCAAUGUGGGAACUUGGAGUUGCACUAAGUUGGAUGCCAUAACUGCUGCACCUACCAGAAUGGUAUUCUGGCUCUGAUACCAAUUGUUGGUAUUGAAAACUUUACUAACUGAAUACCAAAAUAUGUGGGUGAUAAGUUUACAAACUCUAUCACACCUCUCACUUUACACUCUCAAUAAAAUUGGACAAAGAAAUAGAGAAAUGAGGGAAGCUACAAGCUUUGGCAAACAAUGCACUUUGAUGUAUUUAAAAGAGUUUACAAACACACUUCUGAAAAUGGAAUAACAAAUCAGAUACAUGUUUCUAAAACCUUACGGGCUGCUUAUUUAUACAAGCAGAAAAUGAAGACCACUCAAGUGCUUUUAAUAAACUAAACACAACAACACACACAAACAGCUCAUAUGAACUUUGGACAGUCUAGCACACAUAUGCAGCUAUCUUUCCAGCUUGCAAUCAACAUAGUUUCGGCUAGCACACCACAUGGUAGCACACAGCUGCUGUCUUUCAACACACUUUCAGCUGCCACAUGGAGAAAACUUUAGCCUUUGUAGUUGCAGCAAGUGUGAAUACAACCUGUAAAGAAACUAACAGCUAGCAGCUGCCAUUUACAACCUGUUUUGAUUUGAAUUUCCAACAGACCUACAACCUUCAAAAACUCAGCUAAUUCGUAAAACUUGUUACGUUUCAGAUACGCAAAUGACAUUGCCCGGAUUCCCUCUUCCUCUAUCAGAAACCUAGACCUUUUUAAGGCGGCCAUAAGCAGUCUCCAUCUCAGUAAGGGAACCAAAAAUACUAUAGUAUCUGAUAAAGGCAUUUCCAGUGGCAUAGUCCACCGGGAAACCCAUUGAAAUCAUUUCUUUCAAUGCACCUUCCAUCAAUUCAAGCUGGCCUCCCUUCCCAAAACAAGAGAUAGCUAGCGAGUAAACCUCCGAAAACAAACUCAAAUACCUAGCCCUCAUCUGGCCCAAAAUUUUAUUCACUUUUUCAAAACAUCUCGCAUUUCCAUAAACAUCAAAUAACUGCGAAACAACCUGAAUACUAGGCACAAAAGAAAUAUAUAACAUUUCGUUCCACACUGCUUCCGCUUGAGGAAAAAGGCCAUUGUUGGCAUGGAAUAGCAUCAAAGCAGAUAGGGUGGAGUUGCUGGGCAAAAGACCAUCCGAUUUCAUUUCGAGUAAAAGCUCCUGAGCUACAUGAGGCAACUUUUGUCUACUUAAACUCCGAAUUAUCCGCACGCAAUCUACAUAAGUAGCUUGGCCAUUAAAACACUCAUCCCGCUUCCAUUUUCAGAUUAUCGGUUGUAAGCACAGCCCAAAUAAAAGGAUAUCUCUUUGCACAAAAGUGACAGUAUUUUCUUCGGAUAAUCAAACACUAGAUCAAGAAAUUCAUAAAAUUCACAAACCUGCUAAAACAAAUUACGGGCACUUGUUGAAUCAAAAUUUGAUUAAAAAAUACAAGUCCCAAUUCUACAAAUACGGUAAAAUGUUCAUGAGAGAGAGAGAGAGAGAGAGAGAGAAAACGACCUUGCGUGCUAAGGCUCGAUUUUGUGAAUGGGAUUGAUGGCAGAAAAUAGAUUGGCGUUUUGGUGCCAAUGUGCAACCUUUGAUGAUUUCAGUUAAAACUAGCAAAGAAGUCCGCGCUCUGCUGCGGGUUUGAAACUGUAACCAAAAUUUAACACUCAUUUUUAAAUUAUUUAUAAAUAAAUAAAAGCAACUGAAUCCACAUGAUAUUCAAAUUUUGAGAUGUAUCAGAUAUCAAUUGUUGUCUGUGUCUUUGUGCUUCUCAAUGUAUCAGAUAUCAAUUGUUGUCUGUGUCUUUGUGCUUCUCAUUGUAAGUUCUUUUUGCUAAUUACUCUGAAUUUUUGUAGUUUGAAAUUUGCAAUGAUCAACAAACAUGGGAAAUGCCUAUGUGAUUUUCCAUGAACUAAUGAAUGGUUUGCAAUUAAUUUUACUGAUGCAUAUUCAUAAUUUGGAAUUAGGAAUAACAGUUAAACAGGGCCUUGAAUUACAUCAUCAACCAAUACUUUCUCCUUUUGCUUUCUGUGAAUUUUUUGGUUGCUUGCUGCAAAUGAAUGGAUUUGGAACUUUGAAUUAACAAAUUAAGCAAUUCAAGCAUAUUGCAUACACUUAAAAGGCUUAAGAGUAGAUAUAAGAUUAAUUAAUAUUAAAUCAAAAUAAAUAGAUGUAGCUAUGUAUAUUUUCAGCAAUUUCAGUCCUUCACUCCCAUCAUAGGACUUAAAUCACAUUUAAAAAUAAGAAGUACACAAAGAAAGUUGUACUUUUAGCUUCGUUUACAAAAAGCUCUGUAUACAACUAUGUAUUCCACAUGAAUUUGUGUAAAAGGACUUGCCUCGGGGAUGAAGUACUCUGUCUUCUUACACACACCUAUGCCAAAAUCUCUAUCAGGAAACUUUUCCAACCCUGUAGAAGCCAAUAUAUGAAGGAAAUCAUUCAAUGCAAUUGUAUUAACCUUAUUUUAAGGAUAUGAAAAUGAAUUUUUGUUCACUAAUAAUACAAUAUGUACAACCAUUACCCAAUUCAAAAUUCAUUUCAACUCCCAAAAUUACACAAAAUGUACUAAAAUUUCAAGCAAAGAGAACGAACCAAGAUUCACAAUUCAUUUCAAUUCCCAAACAUGCUCACAGAUUAAUGAACUCUCACUGAAACAACAAAGAACCAAUGAAAUUUUGUGUAACUUAAGAGGAAAAAUUCUUACCUUCAACUAAGUAGAUCCCUAAUUGUUCAGUUACUUUUUCGUACGUACUAUUAUUAUAGCUAGAUUAGCAGUCAUGUUCUCCUAGACCUCGGGUUUACAGAAAUCAUGGCCACCCACCGUUUGAUCUUAAUCCAACAGUAGUAAGGCCAAGUACUGAUGGCACAGUACAUUCUUUCUUCCAAAAUUUUUAGCCUGCUAGAGUGACUCGAAUAAGAGAAACCCUCCAAGUCUGAGAGUACCACAAAAUUAGCAUCAGGUUUUUCCAGCUUCCGUUUUAACGUCACUCUGCCACAGAAAGUAGCUAGUGAAUGGAGUUGAAGCGCACAAGCAACGUGUACUAGCAGCAAAACAGAAGGCCAACCCUAAACCCUACAAUAGGCGGGACUUGCAUUGGAAGCAACUGCGGCAGCAAGCCUCAAGAGGCAACAAUUUUGGCUGCUGACUAAGCAGUUGAGAUGUUUUCUUAGAUUAAGCUGCAACCAUCCGUAAAUGCAGGUUUCAAAUCCAACAAUGCUCAGUUCAUAUCUUAGUUGCUGUUUUAUUUAUGAUUUCUUUUGCUUUUCUCUAAUUUUUAGUUAACCUAGCUUGUUUCAACAAGAUUUAGAACGGUCUUCUAUUUGUUUUAAUUUGUUUAAAUUUUCGUGAAGGCUAGUUACUAGAUGGCCACCUCUUUAACAUAUAUAUAGUCGUUUGUAUAUGUAUAUAGGAAAAAUUAGUAUCCGGUCCCUAGUUUUUACUGUUCAUUGACUAAGACCUUAUUAGUUCUCAAAUUUUGAUUCAAGUCCCUAUCAUUAAUGUGAUAAUGAAUUUACAUGUUUAUUAUAUAAUUUUUUAAUAUAAAAAUUAGUAAUUAAUUUAGGAUUUAAUACUCACACCUCUAUUAAACUUCUAAUUAAUUUUCAAUUCAAAAAUUUCCAAAAUAAUAAAAAAUUAAAUUAAAUUAAGUUUGUACCUAUUACUUUAUAUAUAUAUAUAUAAGAUUCUCAAUUUUUUAAUCUUAAAUGUACCCAUUCAUAUAAUUUUUCAAUUUUUUUAAUCUUAAAUGUACCCAUUCUCAAAUAUAUCAAUUUGUUAUAUGUAAAAUGUACCCUUUUUUUAAUAUAAAAUCCAUUCAAAUUUUUUAAUCCAUGUUUAAACUUAUAUGGGUACAUUCUUUUUCGUUGAUUUUGAGAAUGCAUCCAUGUUUUGGUACAAUAACUUUUUUUGUUAAUUUUGGUUAAUGUACCCAUACAUAUAUGUAUACACACACACACACAAUAUAAUAGAGAGUAUAAUUUAUAUUUUAUUAUUUUUAAUCCCAUAAAAUAUGGGUUUUUAUUUAAAAUCUCAUUAAUAUAAACAAUUACAAACUUCAAUUUUUAAUUUUUAAUUUAAAAAAUAUAGUAACUUACAUUAUUACAUUAAUGUCAGGGACCUCAAUCAAAAACUAAAAACUAACAAUGUUUCAAUCAAAUAAUAUUGAUAGCUAAGGACCGUAUCCAAAGUGUCCCGUGUAUAUAUAUGUACAUCUAUAUAUGUGUGUGUGUGUGUGUGUGCACAUUGUUACGAUUCGCUAACUUUUCUUUUGGAGACAAACAACUCAGACUCGUCUAGAUUUUUUGGGGGCAAGUAAAUUUUGCUAAUUUAGGAAUAACAAGUAGAUGGAAGUUACAACUACAUGCUCCAAUGCAACAAAGGAGUAUUUGGGGAGGCAUAAAGACAAGAUGGUUAGGGAAUUUGGUUAUACUAUCGUUCCCUCCACACAUUCUUAUCUCCCUAGCUCUAGAAUAUUUAAGAGAGAGAGAGAGGGAGAGAGUUGAUGAGAAUAUAGCACAACUUCAGUGCCAAGGAGAGCGUAUGACGGUGGUUCUCCGUCGGGGAUUUGUUUCGUUCAGAGCCAGAGACAUUUCUACGUACGCAUGCAGGUUAGAGUUUGAUGAGAGUUGAAUUAAUUCACAGAAUGUGAGAAAUGGGUAGAGGUCAAACACAAAGGAAGGCGGGGGAGGUGGUGGCUGUAGCAAUAGACAAUGACAAGGGCAGCCAACAUGCUCUCAAAUGGACUAUUGAUAGUCUUGUCACCAGAGGUCAAGCUCUCACGCUGCUCCAUGUCAGGUCGGCCGAGUCCUACUGCAAAAAGGAUUGAUCUAGAUAAUAGCGAAUGGGCUAAUUCUUAGUAUGAUAAGGAGUCUUAUUGGAAUAAGGAUGUCGGGAUUUGAGUAGUGAAUGUGGCAGGGCAAAGAGCUUGGUUUAGGGUUCUAGUGGAGGUAGGAUUGGCUGAGACUUGGUUAGAUUAGGAUAAAGAAUCCUAAUCCGAGUAUAGUCUUGGUUCGGUCAUGAUGAGAUUGGCUACUAUAAAUAAGAAGGGGGUGCAUCAUUCGAGCUCCUCCAACUCAACACACAAUUGCCCUGCUCAAGCUCUCGCUAUAUGCGAAACCUCUCAACAACCUUGAGAUUCUUUUUAUUUUUCGUUGACACAUCUUCAGUUUAGAUAAACAGCAUUGUUGCCGUAUAAUCAACCGACCGGGAAGCACCUUCAAUUUGGAUAAACAGCAUUGCGACGAGGCCGACUGGUUAUCUAUCCAAGUCUCAGUCGAGAAGGAUUUUCGAGUCAUUAUUGGCAGAGAUCAUCUCAUUAGCCUUCUCGGCGAAGUGAGAUGCUAUAGGUUACUACAUUCGGCACGUUGAAAGCCGAAUUUGAUAUUGAACUUCGUAGAACUAGCAGUCUUAUCUUCAGGCUCUAGAACCCGAAGGUUGAGACGUGUUCCUUCCUCGACCGCAAUCGCAAGAUCAGGAAAUCAACAGUGCACUCAACGCAACAUCAACUCAUUUUACUCACCGGCCGAGCUCGGCCGUCGAGUUAGUAUGCCUCGCACACAACUGAAUGACGUAAUUAGCUUAUUAAUUACUCGGGCUGCGCGCCACGUAAGCUUGGUAGUUUUUAGGGUUAACAGUUAUUCAUAACAACACUGGCAAGUGGCACGACAAAACUUUAACUUGCUGUCAAGGUGGUUAUAUUAUAAAUCUUUUUGGUUUUUAAAAUUAAAUAUUACAUUAAAUAAUUUAAAUAUAUAUUUUGGUUUGUAACCGAUCCUUUCAUGUUCAGGUCGGUUUUUUUAUUUGGAAAACUAACCAAAAACCCCUGAAAAGUUUCCUUUUAAUCAUAAGGACAAAAGUUUUCAGAAAUACCAAGGCUACCCUUCACACAUCCGUACAAAAUUGGCCAAGCUUUUAGUCAAGUUCACAUGCUGGGGCUGACAUUUUCAGAAAAUAUUUGCAUACAAAAGCUAAGGUGGCAAACAUCACAGCAACCAAGACAACAUGAAUUCACAUGUCUUUCAGACAGCUUUCAGAAACAGUGCUGACAGCUUUCAGAAACAGUGUGUUGUCACUAUCCAAAAAGUUGUAAAUAUUGAAAAGUUAUUUUGUUUUGUUUAGGAAUCAACUUUUGUAUAUAAGGGAGCCUUUCCUCCCAUACAGAGGACACCUCUCUCAACACCUGAAAACAACAUAUUCACUUCAUACACUCAAGCAUUCAUAGCCUUCAUAGCAUCCUUGUAAACACUUCUUUGUAAUCACUUUCUUGUAAACAACGAUCUCUGUAAACAUUCCAUAUAUCAAUAAAAGAUCAAGUGUACAUAUUCAAGCAAUCUCUAAGUCUUAAGUAAGUUUUCUUUUCCUUCUUUAGUGUGUUUGUUUAAUUAGACUUCUAGUCCAAAACAGGGAAACACUAUUGUGGUUAUAUUAUUAACCUGCUAAACUGACGAUCAUACUUUAUUCAAGCACUCUGUUAUAGUUGAAUAUUUGCCAUACAAAUAACUGGACAUUAACCAGGGUACCUCUAAGUUCAGCCGUUAAGGCCUUAUACUUGUACUGUGAGUGGCCGUCAUGCUGAAACAUGUCGAGUUCCAUGUGCAAGGUUCUAUGUCUAGUUGUUAUAAUGGUCAUCCGACUAUUUAACCGAGCAUGCGUUUUGAAUUUGGUAUCAGAGCCUAGUUUAGCAUUUUAAUAGUAUAAUUAUAAUAGUAAAGUACCUUGAGGAUAGAAGUCAUUGAUACAACUGAUAUCAUAUUUGUUUAUUGUAUAUGAACAACAGAUAUUAUUGUCCCUGUAGACCCUGUCAACCACAAUUACUAGGUAUUUAUUGUCCCAGACAUCCAACCAUAACUAGCAUGAAGAGAAGAUUAGCAUACAUAUCCAAAAGAAUUAUUAGUACUUUGAAGAAGCAAAAGUUUUAUCUUGGGUAUCUUGAACAUCAUUCAUUUAUUCGUAAAUAUAAUAACACAGAAGUGCAGCAUAAAGUUUUGGAAGCAAAAAGAACAACAGAUCAAGUUUUAGAGACAUUGAGAGAAGAAAGAGAGUUUUUAAGAAACCAGUUAGCCGUAACCUUAGAGAAAGGUAGACUGUAGUUUAUGAUAGAUUAUCUUAAUUUAGAAAUUAGUGAACCUCAAAAAAGAAAAAUAACUUUAGACCAAAAUAGUUUAGUUUGUUAUUUUCCAUCAAGAAAGCAUAAUCAUAUUUUGCACAGUGAAGAAAAUUCACAAGCUAAUACCAUUGUAGAUCUUAUUAUUAGUCAGGCAGAUAAUAUAAAAUUAGAAAAUAAUAAGCAUAAUCAUUUGUUAAACCAGUUGUUAGAACAUUUUUAGAAAAAUUCCAUAAAAAUAAUUAGACAAAAUUUAAACUAUAUUACAUCUCAGUUAGAAGAUAAUAAUAGAAAUAUUCAAAGGUUUCCUAUCAAAAGAGAUAUAAAAGAGCUUGUUGAUCUUAUAGAUAGUAAGCCGAAGCAAGUAGAACUUAGAUCAUUAGAAAUAGUUGAACAGCUAAAAUUAGAAGUUCAAAAAAUUCAAUUAGUACAAAAAGAGUUAAGUGAACAAGUAGAUAAAUUGCAUAAUAAAAUAGAUAAAUUAUUAGUUUAAUGACAGAUUCUAGAACUAGCAGAAAAUAUAUUCAAGCUUUGAAAGAAAUUAGUAAAUUAGAUAAAGAACCAGUAGGAUUAACAGAUUUUUCAACACAAGUAUCUAGUAGUAAUAUUCCCAUUAGGCAAAAUAAUUUGAUUAUCCAAUUAGUUUUAAGUUUAGCUGAAAAAUUAGAUCAAGUUGAAGAACAAAUAGCAGAAAUAAACCAAGUUUUACAUAACGCAUCUUCAUCACUUCCACCAUCCUUGCUAGAUAAAUUAGAAAAUUUAACUUUGAGUGCAAGUAAUAAUAGAAGACCUAAGCUAAAUCCUUUUGAUAAUAGAAAAUGGCACUCUUUAGGAAAAAAGGAAAAAAAGUAGUUAGAGCGGAAGAUAUUUAUCCAAAUGAAGAAUAAGCACAAGAAUUUAUUCGAAGAGGUUAUGAGAGAACACAGAAAAAUAAAUAUAACUUGUAUCAAUUAGGUUUAUUUGAAAACAGAAAUAGAAUUGUAAGCAGCAUCAGUCAACAUGAAGUUAAUUGUAUUGAUAAAGAAGUCACACUUAAUCUAAUUAGUAAAGAAGCAGUUACUCAUUUGAGAAGUCACAUUUUAGUCAAAUUCACAUAGGAACAAUAUUAAUUGGAAUAGCAGGAUUAACCAGAGCACAAGUAGGUAUAAAAGCUUUAGUAUACAUAUAUGAUGAUAGAUGGGAUAAUCACCAACAAGCAUCAAUAGCAACAACUAAAGUAGACUUAAGUUCAAACUUAGCAGUUAUAUGUUGUAUUCCAAAUUAUGUUAUGACGAUUAAUGAAUUUAGUAAAUAUAUUAAAGUGAGCAUAAAAACAAAAAAUUAUAAUAUCAAAGGAGAGUAUAAAAAUUUGUGUAUUAGCUUAAUGUAUAUAGGUAAAGUGUCUGAUAAAUAUAAUCAUAAGUUUAAUUUAGAGUUUCAAAUUUUAGUUCAAACAUUUGGCAGUAAACAUGUAAAUAUGAUAGAAGCAAAACCCGUAGAUAAUAGCUUUUUAAAAGGAACUCAGUGGACAUUGCCUAAUUUACAAGUAGCACCAAAUAGACAACCAGAUAAAGUACAAAUAUAUGAAACUAGUACAGGUCAAGCAACAAUUAGGUUUAGUAAUUAUAAGCAACUAGAAAAAAUAGAAGAGGAUGAGAGUGAAAUUGAAAAUGAGAGUAUACAUAUGACUUUUGAUAAUUUAGAUAUUAAUUUAGUUGAACAAAAUUUUGAUCAUAUUGUAGAUAAACUUAUCGAAGAUAUUAAUCAUUUAGAUGAAGAACAAUAUUUGAAAAAAUAUAAGACAUAUGAUUUAGGACUACAUAAAAUUUCAGACGAAGAAAUGAAAAUUUUAAUCUUAGAAAUAGGAGUAGAACACAUUUUAGGAUCAAAAGAAUAUAAUAAUUUAUUAGAAUUGAAAGCAGAAUGUAAUCUAGCAGAAGAAAGUAGUACAUCAGGAGUAGAAAAUCCAGGACACGCAAGCAAAACCGAUCAACAAUUUUUGAGACCAACAAAUGAACAAUAUAAUAAAAAAGCAAAAGUAGACUAUAUGGAAGAAAGUAUGAUAAAACCUAGAAAAAAUAGGAUUCCAUAUUUGAGAGGGUUAGAACAAAUUAAUAUAGCUGGUAAUAUAUUAAAUUUAGAUAAUGUAGAUCCACAAGAUUGGGAAAGAACGAUUGAGAGAUGGGAAAAAGGCUGCUUACAUGCAGCAUUAAUGUUAGAUUUUAGUAAUUCACAAAAUAUGUUAGAUUACUUUGAGCAUACUUUGGAUGGUUUAGUUUUUUAUUAUUUCCAAUCAUGGAAAGUUCAAAAUCCAGAACAGCAUCAGGCAGCUAAAACGCAUUUUAAUAUUGAUGGUUUUGUUACUUUGAUUAAACAAGAGUUUUUAGAUCAUAAUAGGUUAGAUGACAGAAGUGAACAAGAACAAAUAAGAGCAAUCAGAAAUUUAGAACAAUUACAAAUUUGCGAUUUACAGUAUAUAGCUGAGUAUACCACAUAUUUCUUUAAAUAUUUAGGAAGAACAGGUAGAAUUAGUGAUAUUAAUUUAUUAGAUACUUAUAUGACAAAAAUAAAAGGACUAAUAGGUGAAAAGAUUUGGAAUGAAUGGCAAAAUCAUCCGAAGAAAAAUGAUAUUGCUAUAGGACCUAGAAUCAGAAUCCAACAUGUCUAUGAUAUACUCAGACAAGAGUGUAGCCAAAUAAAAGCUAAGAGACAAAUUAGGAAACAAUUUUACAUGUGUUGUAAAAAUAUAGAUUUACCACAACAGUAUGGUUGCCAUAAGAAAAUAUACAAAAAGAAAUAUAAGUCGUAUAAACCCUACAAACAACAUAAGAAUUUCAGCAUAAGACCUUCAAGAACAUAUAGGAAAAGAAAAUAUAUUCCAAAACAAUUUAGAAAAAGAAGUGGCAGACCUUGGAUUAGAAAAUAUAAAGCACCGAAAGAUAAGAGUAAUUGUAAAUAUUAUUCAUGUGGAGAAGCUGGACAUAUUAGACUUAAAUGUCCAAAAUUAGGUAAACAGUCGAAAGAAAAAAGUACAUUUGAUGGAGUUGUUUAAGUUAGAAGAAGAUGAGGAUAUUCAGUCAAUAUACAGUUUAGAUAAUUUAAGUGAUAAUGAGAGUAUUUAUAGUAUAGAGAGUAUUAACAUGAUAGAUUCAGACUCAGAAGAUUCAAGUAACAUAAAUAGUGAUCUAGAAGAGUAUAUGUGUGCAUUCAUAGAUGAACAGCAUGAAGAAGAAUAUAAAUAAAUCAAUUUAGGUUAGCCAGAAAAAUGUCAUAAGUGUAGUAAAUUAGUUGCAAAUAAAUACUACAAUACAUACUCAAUAUUAUGUGUGAAAAAUGUUACAGUAAUAGGUUAUUAGAAGUUAAUUCAGCAGAAUCACAAGAAAAUACUGAAAUAUUAGGAAACAUUGUUUAUAGUAUAGAAAAACCAAAAAAUAGUUCUUUAAUUACCAUAUAUUGUGAAAUAGAAUUAGCAAAAGAACAUAAGAUACAAACGAUAGCUAUGAUAGAUACAGGGAGUACAAAAAGUGUCAUAAAAGAAGAAUUAGUACCAGAAAAAUAUAGACAAAAAUUAGCAAAACCAGUAAGAAUAACACAAUUUGAUGAGAGACCAGUUUACUUAACACAUUGUAUAAAUAAUGAGUUUAUUAAAGUAGAAAAACAACAAUUUAAUUUACCAUUAACAUUUGUUUCACCAGUAGAAUCAUAUCCAUUUAUUUUAGGUUUAAACUUUUUGAAAAGCUUGCAAGGUUUUUUUUAUUUAUGAACCCUAACAUAACAUUUUUCAAAAGAGGCAUUACAAUAACUGACCAAAGUAAUACUGUAGAAGCAUACAAAAACAUAAGUAUAGAAGAGCCUAGUGACCAAGAUAGUUAUCAUUUAGAAAACUCAAAAUAAAAUGAUGAGCAUAAUAACGUAGAAGAGUUUGAUGAAGACAUUUUUGAACAUGAAUACCCGAUUUUAGAAUAAGGAACCUGUAUAGAAAUAUUACAGUUAGAUAGACCAAAGAGUUUAGAAGAAUUGUUACAAUUAGCAGAACAAACUAGGAUUAUAGGAGAAGACCCACAAUUACAUUGGAGUAAAAUACUAGCAAAAUUAGAUAUAAUUAACCCAGAUUUAACCAUUAAGACGGCUGAUAUGCCUUGUAGUCUAAUAGAUAAACAAGAGUUUGAGCAGCAAAUAAAAGAGUUGUUAAAUUUAAAAGUAAUUAGACCCUCUAAGUCCAGACAUAGAUCAGCAGCAUUUAUUGUAAGAAAACAUUCAGAACUAAAGAGAGGUAAGGCUAUAAUAGUUUAUAAUUACAAGAGAUUAAAUGAUAAUACAUACGAAGAUAGUUAUAAAUUACCAAAUAAGGAUGAGCUUAUAAAUAAAAUUCAAGAGAGUAAAUAUUUUAGCAAAUUUGAUUGUAAGUCAUGUUUUUGGCAAAUAAGAUUAGCAGAAGAAUCAAUUGAGUGGACAACUUUUAGUUGUCCAGAAGGACAUUUUGAGUGGCUCGUUAUGCCAUUUGGACUUAAAAAUGCUCCAUCAAUCUUUCAAAGAAAGAUGGACCAAAUUUUCAAGAAAUAUGAUAAUUUUUGUAGUAUUUAUGUAGAUGAUAUUUUAGUACAUAGUAAAAAUACAAAUGAACAUAGGAAGCAUUUAGAGAUAGAUUACAAGAAUUUAUCAAUAAUGGAAUUGUAAUUAGCAAAAAUAAAAUAGCAUUAGAAAAGCAAGAUAUAGAAUUUUUAGGAAUGUAUAUUAAGUCAGGUACAAUGCAAUUACAAGAUCAUAUAGCUAAAAAGGUGUUAGAAUUUCGAGACAAAUAAGAAGAUAAGAAACAGUUACAAACAUUUUUAGGAUUACUAAAUUAUGCAAGAAAUUUUAUCCCUGAUUUAGGAAAAAAGAUAGCAGUAUUACAUAGUAAAACUAGCAAAACAGGACAAAAAUAUUUUAAUAGUGAAGAUAUUAAAUUAGUUCAAAAAAUAAAAGAAGAAAUUACUAAACUUAAGCCAUUAACAUUACCAUUAGAUGAUAGUUACAAGAUAGUCGAAACAGAUGCUUCAUCAUUAGGAUGGGCAGGUAUACUAUACCAGAAAAAGCAUAGGGAGUCUACAAAGUCUGACGAACAAGUUUGUAGAUAUUUCUCAGGAAAGUUUAGUGAUAUACAGUCAAGAUUACCAUCAACAGAUUUAGAAAUUCUAGGGAUAAUUAAUUCACUUGAAGCAUUUUCUUUAUUUUUACAUAAUGAAGUAUUUACGAUUAGAACAGAUUGUCAAAAUAUAGUUUCUCAUUAUAACAAGAUACAUGCUACUAAACAGGCAGCCCGAAAAUGGGUUAAUUUUGUUGAUUCAAUUACAGGAAAUGGUUUUAAACCAAUUUUUGAACAUAUAAAACGUAAUGACAAUACAUUAGCUGAUAUCUUAUCAAGAUUAAUUUGUUGAACAGGUAUGGAAUAUCGUGUACCAUCAUCAGCAAAUAGCACAAGGCUGCAAGGUAGAAGAAUUUCUUUCAAUGGCAUGAUGAUGCACCAUCAACCUCCACCAUUCAGUGGAUUUCAAAAUAGCAUGAGCAGACCAGCAUCACCACCAGUACCUACGUUAAACUUUAAUGGCAAUAUUGUUGAAGGAAUCAGAAAUACAACUCUGAGAUAUAGGUCAAGGGUACCAGGGCUUUCUGAUAGGCAGCAGGUUCUCUUAGAUACUUUUUGGAAUAUCCAAAUUAAGCAGCCAAGCAUGAGAUUAGGUCAUGAAAAAUUAAUUAGAGCCUUGGUGCAAGAGUUUGAUAGCUUUAAUUUUAAUUUCCACCAAAACCAGCAGCAUAUUCAUUCUCUUGAGCACAACCUUCAAGCCAUUUCUAGGGACCAUGAGUCAUUACUUGGUAAGUUUACCAAAAUGAAUCAAGAACUCCAAUCUCUUAGGAUGCAGCAAAAGGCAAGUGACACCUUGAAAAGAGAAUUGAAAAUAGAUUUAGAAAUUGAUCAGCAUAAGAAUAAAGGAAAAGAGGUUAUUGAACCCAUAGGACAAUAGGCUAAUGACCCCAUAGAAGAAAUUAAGAUUGAGCUCUAGAAGAAGACGUUGAAAUGGAGCAACAUCAAAAUAAUGAACAGCAUCAGGUUCUGAGUGACAAAGAAAAACAAGAAAAAUAUGAAAGUUUUCUUAGGAAUAUAUCUUCAGACUUGAUAUUAGAUGAUGUUUUAUUAGAAGAAAUUUCAAAGGAAAAACUAAGAAUAAUGCCAACAGACAUGCAAAAUGAGAUCUUGAGCAGAGCAUCACAGUCCAUGAAAGAGUUACAAUUACAAUUACAAUUACAAUGGGCCUUGUAUCAGUCCAUCUUUAAUCCAAAACCAGGGAUGGAUAUUAUUACAAAGAUGUAUCCUCCAUGUCUUUGUGAUAGUACAGAGAAUUGUAUUUGUAAACCAGAUGUUAGCGUAGCUGUGGCUAGGAUUAACAUGAAAGAUUUUAAAUCAUGGCAUUUUAGUUAUGAGCAUCAGAAAAAGCAUAAUGUGAUAGAAGUUACCCCUACCUUACUAUUAGAGUUUGGUUAUCUCGAUAAAAUAUUUAUUAACCGUAUUUCUCAACUAGAAUUAUUUCCUGAAAAGCUUAUAAAAGUAGCAGAAGAUUAUCUAGAAAGGUGGAAAGAAAUUUGCAUAAGUUUUAUUAGUAGUCCUCCAGAUUGGUAUGUACAUAUGCAUAAGGAGAAAGCUAGGCAUAUAGCCAUGAUCAAUGAAGAGUCCUUUAGACUAAAUCCUAUCUCCUCACAUAGGUGGACUCCUUCAUACAAAGAUAUUUUAAAAUUUAGAGAGAUCCAAAUGCUUGCUUUGGAUAAGUUUGAAGAUUUUAGGUAUGACAUGGUACUAGUAGCAGAAGAAGAGGAGAUGUAUAUUUACAGUAAGACAAGAAUCAGUCAUCAGCCUUAUUGGAAGCCCCAAAAUUUCAAAGAAGAAACAACAGAAAUAUAUUACAAGGUGAAAGAAGAUAAAGAAAGAGAUGCAGAGCUAGUAGAAGACGAUGAACAGUAUUGGAAUAAUUUGUCAGAAGAAGAGCUGUAUAACAUUGACAACAUGAUAGAAGCCUGAAGAGCUAGCUGUAAAUUAGCAUAAGUUGAAUAUCAUCAUAAUGUAUUUCCAGACAGAAAUGUCAACAUCUUUGUGGUCCGCAUGUAAUGGCAUAAGAGUAAAUAAAGAGAAGAGUCUGAUCUAUUAUGGACAUUUUCAUACAUAAAAUGUCCUUAUGGUUAAGAAUGAAUAGUACAAAGCCCUUUUCAUUAAAACUCCUUUUUUUAUUUCUAUUUGGUUCUUUUUUUUUCGAGUUAAGUUUGAUGUCCCAUUCGAAUUAUUUGGUUUUUCAGUUUUUUUUUUUAACCCACCCCCCUUAAGCACACUUAAGUAGAUGGAGAAACGAUUGAUAUUUUAUUUUUGUAUAAUGUUAAGGAGAUCAAAAUAUUUAAACUAAAUGAUGUGGUUGUUAAUGAUUAUAUUAUUAUUUAAAUAUUGAUUAACGUGUUUAUUUUAUUAGUAACACAUCAUUUAAUUUUUCAAAUUUGAUUUAAAAUUUUGAUGUCUCUAUCAUUAUCCAUACUAAGGGCAUGACGGUCAAAUGACGUGGAAUAAGUUGGUGUAUUUGAGGGUAAUUUCAUUGUUUUGUCAAAAGCGUAACCCUAAAGGUGAAAUCUCCAAACUCGUGCAAUCUCUCUGAGUCUCUCUCGCACAGACGAAGCCAUGAUCCGGGUACCCAGAGACGACGCCAAGCGCGGAGGCGGAGGCGGAGGCAGAGGCAGAGGCAGAGGCAGGGCCAAUUCGCUCGCGCGAUCAGAAUCCGGGCGGGGGAAGAAUCCAGCCCAGCCAGCGGAGCUCCGAGGUGAGUUCCGGAUUUGUCUUGGUGUAUAUAUAUGCGUUUGGUUUCUAUUUUAGGGUUUGUAAAUUCUGCAUAUUAACCAAAAAUGUUGCAGCUUAAUUGGUGUUAAACCCAAAUAUAUGCGUUUGACGAAACAUAUCAAACAAAAAAUUGCUGUUUUUCGUCACCGUGCGAGAAUUACCCUUAAAUUAAUUACAUGCCUAGUUUUUUGUUUCGAUAGAACUCCCUUCUUAUAUUGAUAAUAUGUAUCUGUUUUUGGUGGGUGAUUUUGUUGAGUAGUAAUUUGUGCCCUGCUCCCUUAAUUUGACCUGUUAAUUAGCUGAGUAAAUAUAUCUAGUAUUAAUUAAUUUAUGUGCAACAAACAGAUGAGAAGAAAGAAACAAAAGCUGUCGAAAGCUCUAUGAGUAAACUCCAACUUGAUGAUGAUACUCCUACUUCAAAGAAGAAACGUUACCGCGAGUCUAAGAAAUGCCAUUCUCAGAAUGAGCAUUGUGCAGUUUGCCUUGUGGACGGCCACCACCAACAUCUGUGUCCCUACCGGGAAAGUGUCCCGUUGGGUGUAACUAAAGUUGGAGAGGGCUAUAUACUAAUGUGUAGGACUUGUGGUUUUGUGGGUAACGUCUGCCUUCAUGGCCGCUCUUAUGCUCGUCCCUAUAGGCGGUGUUAUUGGCGUCUGAAACAUGGGUACCCAAUCCACGAGGAAGUGGAGCAAAUCAGGGCAAGACAGAGAGAAAUGGCUGAAAUGUCCAGGGCACGAGUGGAGAGAGGUGAACCAUCCUUAUUGGAUGAUACCUCUUCCGAUUCCUCUUCUGAUACCUCUUCCGAUUCCUCUUCUGAUUCCUCUUCUGAGAUAUAAUCGUAAUGAAGCUUAGGGUUGGAACAUGCGGUGGCUGCAGCUGUUGGAUUGCCUUUUCUGUUCAUUCAUGGCGGAUAGAUACUACUUUGUUGGUUGUUUUCUCGUGUGUUUAAUUUCGUUCUUGGAAUAGCUAGUUGUGCAUGUUGGUCGGAUUUCCUUUGCUUGUAGGCUUGUACUGCUUGUCUUGGAAUAACUAUGAAACGAAUCAACCGCUAUCAAAUACUAAUCUCACCAGAAUUGUUCAGUUAGUUUUUCGUACGUAUUAUUUCCUUUGCUUGUACGUACUAUUAUUAGUAAGGCCAAGUACUGAUGGCACUGUACAUUUUUUUCUUCCAAAAUUAUGCGCCUGCUAGAGUGACUUGAAUAGGAGAAACCCUCCAAGUUUGAGAGUACCACAAAAUUAGCAUCAGGUUUUUCCAGCUUCCGUUUUAACGUCACUCUGCCACAGAAAGUAGCUAGUGAAUAGAGCUGAAGCGCACAAGCAACAUGUACUAGCAGCAAAACAUAAGGCCAACCCUAAACCCUACAAUAGGCGGGACUUGCAUUGGAAGCAACUGCGGCAGCAAGCCUCAAGAGGCAACAAUUUUGGCCGCUGACUAAGCAGUUGAGAUGUUUUCUUAGAUUAAGCUGCAACCAUCCGUAAAUGCAGGUUUCACAUCCAACAAUGCUCAGUUCAUAUCUUAGCUGCCGUUAUAUUUAUGAUUUCUCUUGCUUUUCUCUAAUUUUUAGUUAACCUAGCUUGUUUCAACAAGAUUUAGAAUGGCCUUCUAUUUGUUUUAAUUUGUUUAAAUUUUCGUGAAGGCUAGUUACUAGAUGGCCACCUCUUUAACAUAUAUAUAGUCGUUUGUUUAUGUAUAUAUAUGUACAUCUAUAUAUGUGUGUGUGUGUGUGUUGUUACGAUUCGCUAACUUUUCUUUUGGAGACAAACGACUCAGACUCGUCUAGAUUUUUUGGGGGCAUGUAAAUUUUGCUAAUUUAGGAAUAACAAGUAUGUGGAAGUUACAACUGCAUGCUCCAAUGCAACAAAAGAGUAUUUGGGGAGGCACAAAGACAACAUGGUUAGGGAAUUUGGUUAUACUAUCGUUCCCUCCACACAUUCUUAUCUCCCUAGCUCUAGAAUAUUUAAGAGAGAGAGAGAGAGAGAGAGAGAGAGAGUUGAUGAAAAUAUAGCACAGCUUCAGUGCCAAGGCGUUGCCAAGGAGAGCGUAUGACGGUGGUUCUCCGUCGGGGAUUUGUUUCGUUCAGAGCCGGAGACAUUUCUACGUAAGCAUGCAGGUUAGAGUUUGAUGGAGAGUUGAAUUAAUUCACAGAAGGUGAGAAAUGGGAAGAGGUCAAACACAAAAGAAGGCGGGGGAGGUGGUGGCUGUAGCAAUAGACAAUGACAAGGGCAGCCAACAUGCUCUCAAAUGGACUAUUGAUAGUCUUGUCACCAGAGGUCAAGCUCUCACGCUGCUCCAAGUUAGACAAAUAACCGCAAUUCCCACGCAAAGUACAUUCUCUCUCUCUGUAUGUGUGUGUGUGUGUGUAAAUGCAUGAAUGCAUAAGAUGCUGAUGAUGAUCGUAAUUUACUAAUGUACGUCACCAGCCACAAAGGAGGUUGAAAAGGCUCAAGCCAAAGAGUUGUUUCAACCAUUCCGCUGCUUUUGCACGAAAAAACUUGUGAGUAAUGCUUCUUCCCUUCAUAAAAGUGAUAGUGCAUUGCCUAUCCCGCUCCAUGAACAGUUGAGCGGAAUCCCUCGUUUCGCAACGUGAUUUGUAGUUGUACUGCUUAUUUGAUUUUUGCAACAGCUAAAAUGCAAUGAAGUCAUGAUCAAGGAUAAAAACAUAGCAAAAGCACUGGUAAACUAUGUUGUCAAUAAUUCAAUCGACAUUUUGGUACUUGGUGCGCCGUCGAGAAGCGGCCUUCUCAGGUACUGAUUUCUUCUCCAAGUUAUAUCUCAGUUCAUAUGCACCAACACUGUAAAAUUCAUCAGAAAAAUAGUAUCAAAGAGAACAAGCAUCAAUCGUAAAAUGUAUAAAUCAUUCAUUUAUUUGAAUGGAACUAUAACUGUAGGUAGUUAAGUAUUACAUCUUUAAAAUCCAAUGAACUAAGAAAACUUUCAUACAUCUGUCUCAAUUAAUACCAGCUUACAUACGCCGAAAAUUUGAUGGUUUGAGAAAUCAUUUAUUCAAGAUCUGGUUCCGCACGUUGUAGUCUUACCUCAGUUUUUUCUUCUCGGAAGCCAUCAAUUACGCAUGCAUCAUAAUUAUAUCAAUCUCGUCACAGAUUCAAAACAACAGACGUUCCAAACACCGUCUCAAAAGAGGCACCGAGUUUCUGCACUGUGUAUGUCGUUGGCAAGGGAAAGAUAUCAUAUAUGCCAGCUGCUACCACUUCACUGUCCCAGGCAGCUUACUUGCCUAAUCAAAAACAGCACCAAACAAACAAAGCUUCUGACACAAAUGAUACGCAAUUCAGCCACAACCAGCAAUGCAGAGGUUGGCCAGAUUCGGUUUUUUCUUUCUUUUUUUUUUUUUAGGUCGAAAGUUCAGAUUAUGUUCUAGCAUCUGUUAUUUCCCACCUCACGUCUGGUUUCUUGUCAUUACUCAAACAAGUUUCUUUGACCAAUACAGCAUGGGAGAGGACGCAGUAUCCACCACAAAGCCAGCAAUAAGGAGCAUGCCUCCAACUACAAACUUGACAGCAGAAACUAAUAUACCACAAAUGAUUAUCCGAGCCAGUUCUGGUGUCCCAAUAUCAUUCCUUCAAUAAUUGAUACCUAAAAUUUACCAGUUUUUACUGGUUUUAGUUCCACAAUCCAAAAGAAGCUUUAUUUUUAUAAAGCAUACAUGCAGGUAUAGUUCAGAGUAUUAAUACGUAAUUUUCUUGAAAAUAAUAGGAUGAAUUGGAAGCUGAGAUGAGGAGGCUCAGGCUAGAGCUCAAGCAAACAAUGGACAUGUACAGUACAGCCUGCAAGGAGGCACUCACAGCAAAACAGAAGGUAUUGAUGCAAAACCUUUUCUUUGAUGAAAUAUAAAUCUUGGGUUCAGAACAACUAUUUAAGCAUAAAUUCUAUGGUAAAGUACAAAAAACUACUUUAAUUAUUAGUAUCACGACACUUUCAUACCUCAUCUUUUAAAAUUGACAAUGUCAUACCUCAUCUUUAGAAUUUGGUCCAAUAUUAUACCUUCCGUUACUUGGCCGUUUAUUUUUCAGUUAAAUGCUGACGUAACUUGAUCCAAAUCUCACUUUCUAUUAAAAAAUUAAUAAAUAUUAUUAAAAACUAAAAAAAAUCAUUUAAUAAUUUCUAAAUAUUAAAAUGUGGCUUGAUCUAGAUCCUACUUUCUAUUAAAAAUUAAUAAAUAUUAUUAAAAACUAAAAAGAAAUCAUUUAAUAAUUUCUAAAUAUUAAAAUAAUAAAAAAAAGUUUAAAAAAAAAAAAACUUAUGUUCGUUCCCUUUUGCCCCCCCCCCCUUUCUCUCUCCUCUCCCAUCUUCUUCUUCUUCCUCCUUCUUUUGCAGAUUUGGGCUCUUUUUUUUUUUUCUUCUUCUCUCCUCAUCCUCCCCGCAUUCCUCCUCCUCCUCCUUCUUCCCCUUCCUCCUCCUCCCCUUCUCCUCCUUUUUCUUCUUCUUCUUUCGUUGCAAAUUCGGUUUCUUUUUUUUUCUUUUCUUUUUUUUUUCUUUUUUCUUCUUCUUCUUCCUCCUUUUUUCUGGGUUGCAGGAAGGGGGCUAGAAGGAAGAUGAAGAUGAAGAUGAAGAUGGGGGAUCUUCUUCUUCUUUCUUUGUUGCAGAUUCGAUUUCGGUUUUUUUUUUUUCUUCUUUCUUCUUCUUCUUUCUUCGUUGCAGAUUCGGUUUCGAUUUUUUUUGUUUUUUUUUUUUUCUUCUUCUUCCUAUUUUUUUUCUGGGUUGUAAGAAGGAACUGGAAGGGAGAAGAAGAUGAAGAUGGAAGAGAAGAGAGAGAAGAGGGGGGGGGGGGACAAACAUAAGUUUUUUUUUUUUUAAACUUUUUUUUAUUAUUUUAAUAUUUAGAAAUUAUUAAAUGAUUUUUUUUAGUUUUUAAUAAUAUUUUUUAAUUUUUUAAUAGAAAAUGGGAUCUAGAUCAAGCCACAUCAGCAUUUAACUGAAAAAUAAACGGUCAAGUAACGGAAAGUAUAACAUUGGACCAAAUUCUAAAAAUGAAGUAUGACAUUGUCAAUUUUAAAAGAUGAGGUAUGAAAGUAUCGUGACACCGAUAGUUGAGGUAAUUCUUUUGUACUUUACCCUAAAUUCUAAUAAUAAAUCAUCACAGGCAACCGAACUCCACCGGUGGAAAUUGGAAGAGGAACAGAGAUUAGAACAGGUACGAUUAGCUCAGGAAGCUGCAUUGGCACUUGCAGAGAAUGAGAAAUUGAAAUGUAUGGCAGCCAUGGAGGCUGCAGAAGCAGCUCAAAGGAUCGCAGUAAUGGAAGCACAGAAAAGGAGGAAUGCAGAAAUGAAAGCCUUUAAAGAAGCUGAGGAGAAGAAGAAGGCAAUAGAAGCAAAAACAUAUGAUUUCAUGUUCAGGAAAUACACAAUUGAGGAGAUUGAAGCAGCAACAAAUAAUUUUUCAAGAGAGAAACCGACCUUGCGUGCCAAGGCUCGAUUUUGUGAAUGGGAUUGAUGGCAGAAAAUAGAAAGGCGUUUUGGGUAGAGAGAAGCUGAAACACGUAUUGGGCUCAGAAGAACCGUGACCCCCAUUUCCUGACACAGCUGAGUGUUGGAAUGAUAACACAAAUUUGAACCCUCCGUUUAAUGCAUUUCGAUAUUGAUACUACAUUUGGAAAUGUUCCAUUGAAAUGUUUUUUUUCCCGAUAAUUUUUAAAUAAAGAUUUAAACCUUAAAUACUUUCGUGUAUUACAUUUGCACGCUGAAAAUACUUUAUUCAAUAUUAAUUGACGCAUAAAUUUAUAUAUUUAUUAUUCGUUAAUUGUUUAGAUAUAAAAUGAAUGAGAGUUUGCACAAGCACGGAACAGGAUCCUAUAACAUGUGUUCUUUAGUUUUACGACUUUUACGAUUCUUUUGAUUACAACGUUGGUAUUAUUUUGUCAUUUAAUUUCAACUUUGCAUGGUUUGAAACUUGAAAAGUGCGUCUCAUAAAUUUUUUUUUUUUUUGUAUGAAUCUAAAACCAACCCAAACUCGAAUUAGGAAUGUUGGGUUAGGAUUGGAUUGACUAUCCAACUGGCCCAACCCGUCCGAGUUGCACCCUAAUUAAGAGUGUGUGCAUUUUCUACCUAAACAAAAGUUUUGUUUUCCAAUUACCACUUAGGCUUCAAUUUUGGUGCCAAUGUGCAACCUUUGAUGAUUUCAGUUAAAACUAGCAAAGAAGCCCGCGCUCUGCUGCGGGUUUGAAACCGUAACCAAAAUUUAACACUCAUUUUUAAAUUAUUUAAAAAUAAAUGAAAGCAACUAAAUCCACAUGAUAUUCAAAUUGUGAGAUGUAUCAGAUAUCAAUUGUUGUCUGUAUCUUUGUGCUUCUCAUUGUAAGUUCUUUUUGCUUAUUACUCUGAAUUUUUGUAGUUUGAAAUUUGCAAUGAUCAACAAACAUGGGAUAUGCUUAUGUGAUUUUCCAUGAACUAAUGAAUGGUUUGCAAUUAAUUUCACUGAUGUAUAUUCAUAAUUUGGAAUUAGGAAUAACAGUUAAACAGGGCCUUGAAUUACAUCAUCAACCAAUAAUUUCUCCUUUUGCUUUCUGUGAAUUUUUUGGUUGCUUGCUGCAAAUGAAUGGAUUUGGAACUUUGAAUUAACAAAUUAAGCAAUUCAAGCAUAUUACAUACCCUUAAAAGGCUUAAGAGUAGAUAUAAGAUUAAUUAAUAUUAAAUCAAAAUAAACAGAUGUAGCUAUGUAUAUUUUCAGCAAUUUCAGUCCUUCACUCCCAUCAUAGGACUUAAAUCACAUUUAAAAAUAAAAAGUACACAAAGAAAGUUGUACUUUUAGCUUUGUUUACAAAAAGCUCCUAUACAACUAUGUAUUCCACACGAAUUUGUGUAGAAGGACUUGCCUCGGGGAUGAAGUACUCUGUCUUCUUGCACACACCUAUGCCGAAAUCUCUAUCAGGAAACUUUUCCAACCCCUGUAGAAGCCAAUAUAUGAAGGAAAUCAUUCAAUGCAAUUGUAUUAACCUUAUUUUAAGGAUAUGAAAAUGAAUUUUUUUUUUCACUAAUAAUACAAUAUGUACAACCAUUACCCAGUUUCAGAAUUCAUUUCAACUCCCAAAAUUACACAAAAUGUACUAAAAUUUCAAGCAAAGAGAACGAACCAAGAUUCACAAUUCAUUUCAAUUCCCAAACAUGCUCACAGAUUAAUGAACUCUCACUGAAACAACAAAGAACCAGUGAAAUUUUGUGUAACUUAAGAGGAAAAAUUCUUACCUUGACGACGGGCAUUUGGCCUCCGAACAUCAAAACAACACCCAUUUGGUGGAGAAUUCUCAAGGUGUCACGAACGGGAGCCACAUGCCUACUUAAACACAUAAAAAAGAGGCGGAGCAUUUCCACUGCGCCAACAACCCAAUUAUGAUGGUUUUAACUUCUGGUAUAUUUAUAUUUCAUUUACAGAACAUAUAAAAAAAAUUUGGGGGCCCCCCGAGAUUGGGGGCCCUAGGCGAUCUCCUUACUCGGGUACCCUCAGACAUUGUUCUAAAAAUCCCCGCCUAGCGUUGCCUAGGCGCUAGGCAGCUAGUCACCGCCUCGAUUAAUAGCAAGGCAUUUGAAAAUUAAGAAAUGACGCCUAGACCUGCUGAGGCGCCCACCUAAACCGCCUAGCUCACCCAGACUCGCAUAGGUUGCUACUCACUUAGACAAAAAAUAGAUAACUUUCAUUUUGCAUUUUCUUUUCUCAAUAAAUUGUAAGAGCUUGUUGGGAACCACCAACUGUUGCUAUGUUAUUGUAAUGCUGUAAAGGUUACCCUACUCACUCUAGGUCGGACUGAAAAAAUAGGCCUUAUAUUCACUGUUUUGGAGAAGUGGAAAAUAUGGUCUCACAGUUUUCAUGUCAUACCUAUUAUCAUAGCGAAUCGUGUCGUGUCAAACCCAUUAUUUUAACAGAUUGUUCAUUGGUGACUCAGUAACGACCGAAUUCGUUAAUAGGUCAUUUCGUUUCAUGUUUGCGUAACGAGUCAUGUAAGAUAUUAUUAUGUCUAAUGUCUAGACCUGGUGAAUGGGUUGUGCUUGUGUCAUACCUACACAUAUCUUAUUGGAAUCUUAAUAGGUGACUGAUAAUGACCCAACUUGCUAAUGAGUUAUUAACAGGUGACCCGAUAUUGAUUGGCUUGUUAACAAGUUGACCCGACACCUAUUAUUUUCAUGUCAUGCAAGAAAUUUUAAGGCCUACUAAUGAUGUUCUCUAAUAAUGUAGGCAAGCAUAAUAGGUAAAAUUGUACUAUAAUAGUUGGCGUGACAAGUUGCUUACUCAGUUGCCUUAUUAAAAAAUUAGUCAAUCCAAUCUAACAAAACAAAAUUUUUAUUUUAUUAAUGUCUCUCACCUUUGGUAUUUACUUUUAUCAUUCAUUUUUAUCUUUUUCCCCAACAUGGACUACUUUAUUAUAAAAGAUAUGUGGGAUCCAUUUUUUAGCUACACAUGUAGAAGUAGGCAAUGUUGUCAACUUUAGGGGAGUAGGCAAACUUUGCCUACUCCAUUGGAGCUUUAUUUUGUCUAUGUAGCUCAUCAAAAUGAAUUACUCAUUUGCCUACUUCAUCGGAGAUACUCUAAAUUAACUAAACUGUAGAGAGAGAAGGGAGGGAUUCAAACUUAGGUUCAUUGGAAAAAGCACUUCUACUCAGAUCAAUGUAGUUGUAGCUAUGCCCAUGUCUGCUCAUAAAUAAACUAAAUAGUAAGUCACUUAAUACUACAAUUUAGUAAUAAUUCUCUCCACUUGUAAGUGGGAGGACUUAAGUUCGACUCUUGUGAAUGACGAAUUUGGUACCAAAUUAUUAUGGUUGACUCAUUAUGUGGCUGACCCAUUGUGCACCUUCUUAGUGUGAAUAUAUCAUUGUAUUUAAAAAGGUUAAAGCUUAAAUAAGGGCUGAUUGGUUGGCAAAGUUACUUUAACGCAUUGUUUACUAAGUGAUGGUCUUAUGGUUUUAUUACUUUUUAGUCAAAAUAGUUUCUGAGACUGGCAUAACUCCUAAUUUUGGUCCCUAAGAUUUAAAAUCAAUGAGAGUGGUCCUAAAUUUGUCCAUCGUUAAUUAUUUUGGUCAUACGAUAAAAAAUCUCCGUUAAAUUAGAACAAAAAUAACAAAAAUACCCUCACUUUUUGUCAAAUUUUUUUGGCCCAUUAUUUAUUAAAUAAGUGUAUUUUCGUCAUCUAGAUCCUUAUUUAGUAGGGACUUUUCAUGCAUGUAUCCAACGUACAAUAGCCACUUAGUACUAUAGUCUAGUUGUAUUCCUAUUAACUUGUAAGUGAGAGGUCUUAGGUUCAAUUAUAGAUAAAGGUGAAUUUGAACAACAUUAUUGUUAGCCCAUUGUGAGGCUAAGCUCACUCUUUUCCCUUUUAGUGUAGAUAAUAUCGUUUGUUUAAAAAAAUGCACAAUUCUAUUAGUUUCUUCUCCAAUUGUGAUUGGUUGAAACAAAACGGAUGGAGAGGGAGGGAGGAAAUCAAGAGUAAUGGCCACAUAAUAUUUUGGGUACAUGAGAGAAUACCUCGGCAUUAAAAUCUUUAAUUGAUUUGAUACGUUUUCUUCUAAACAUAGAAGGCAAACCAAACUAAAAGUUUUCUUAGAAUAAAAAAUAACGCUUAUUAAGUCAAGUUAUCAAACUUAUCAUUCAUAAAAGUCAUGAGUGGUAUUAACUUAGAAUUAUCAGUAGAGAAAUUUAAAAUUUAGAAGUCAUUAAUUGUUACAAAGAUAAGAAGAGUCAAGAAAAAAAAAGCAACAUUUGUUUUUCUCUCUUUUUAUUUUCUUUAAGAAAAUUAGAGUAUCGGCUCUUGAAUGAUGAGUAAACUUAGAUUUGGUCAAUCAACCAAAAGUUUAUCAAAUUUGGAAUUUAAAUUCGACAAAAUGUGAAGCAUUAGUCAAUCCAUCAUAAUGUUGUGAGAUAUUUAAGAGAGCAAGAGUCGUACUCUUAAUAGUCAAAUAUUCUUUUAAACGAAAGAUCAUUGCUUAUAAUAUAAAGAAUUUUUUUUUAAUCAAAUCUUAACUUAGUGAGACAAUUUUUUGUGAACAAGUUACGAAACAAAACGAAACUCAUUUUUGAAGCAACUCACUCGCAAAUAUUAUGGUGUUUUGCUAGACAAUAUACAAGGAGUUUUUUUAAUUUUUUUUAUGGUCACAAAUAUGAAAGAUGCAAAAGAAUAUAACAACUCAACGGCCAUGAUUUAUUAACCAAAACAUGGAGGGGCCAAUAUACGAAAAAGAAAGAAUAAGGAAAGUGACAACCACUAAUUAUUACAAAAUAAAAUGAAAAAUUAUUGUUUAUGUAUUUUUAUUGCAAGAAUAAUAAUUUAAUAAAAAUUUUAAAUAAAAAAAUAGUGUAUUUAUAUGAACUAGGAUCUUCUCCCCUUCUCUUGUCAUCCUCUUCCAUCAUCUUUUCUCAUAUUUUCUAUUUUGUCUUUCUCUUAUUAUAAAAAAUUAAUAUAAAAUAUUAACAUGAUUUGACUGCAACCGUUCAAAUAGAAGGAGGAGGUUUAAAUAGAAGGAGAAGGAAGGGGAAGGAAAUAAACGGGAGUCCUACUCCUAUUUAUAUUGCGCUUUCCUCUAAUAGCUCAGAGGGGUAGAGAAGACCAGAGAGAAGAGACCUGAAAGGUGGUCUUCCUCUGCAUCUCUCUCUAGGAAUACUCAAGCUUUAUAGAUUUUAGAGAGAGAAAGAGGAGGUACUUCUCUCAGAAGCUGCACUGAAUUUAGCAAAAAAUAAUACUCCUCCUACUUGCUCCAUUGCUUCUACUUCACUCCCUCCCAGCUUUGCACAAAACUGUCUCUCCCCCCCCCCCCCCCCUUCUCUCUCUCUCUCUCUCUCUCUCUCUCUCAAUAUCUCCAAUCUUUCCUGGUUUCCUAAAAAGAGUCAAGAAAACCCUUUUCUCUAUUACCUCAGUCUUCCUCUGCUUUGGCAAUCCUCCUUUAAAUCAGCUAAAACAAAAUCACCAACCAUUCAAUUUAGCAAAAGUAAGAGAAUCUGAACAAAACCCUGUUGCAGACUUUCCCGGAAGAUGGAGAAUUUUUCCGGGAAAAAGCGACCCACAAUCAGUAUCUCACUUUUCACUACUUUUUCCGAGUCAAUUUCCUCUGACAAGUUCCCCAAGUCAAUCAAAUCCCCAAGAAAUUUCCAAGAUGGGGUUGUUGGGCUUGGAAUAGUGGCUGCCAUGACUGAUUUGGGCAGCCCCAAUGAAGUGGCUUUGUCUGAAAAGUCACCAAGGUCGAGCCCAAUCCCCAUAGUCUCUGCAGCUAAGCCUGCAGCUAAUUUCAGAAGUGGGUUUUGUGUGGAGAGGGCUGGGGCUGUGGUGGAUGAAUUGUCUGAGAGCUAUACGUGUGUGAUUUCGCAUUUCGGAAACAAUUUGACAUCGAAGCGGGUUUAUCGGUGAUAAGCUGAGUGGGGUUGUGGAUGAUCCUAAUGCUGGUAUGGUGGUGGCCUCUGGGGUGUUCUCUACUUCUCCAUUGAGUAUUGGUGAAGUGGGAAGAGAGUUUUGGGCUUCCGAUUUUCUCAGUUGUUGUUAUCUUUGCAAGAAGCAGCUUCAUGGACUGGACAUUUUCAUGUACAGGUAAAAACAAAAGUUAUAUAUACAUACAUAAUAUAUACACACACAGAGAGACGUAUGUAUAUAUGUUCUCUUGAUGUAUAGUUACGAGUUAAUCACUUUUGAUGAUUGAUUUUGGUGAAGCGUGAUUUAGGAAAUCGUGGAUUUUGAACCACGUUGUUGAUUUUGAAUAUGGGAUUAAUUUUUGCUUAUUGAUUAUGUUGUGUAAUGUGGGAGAUUGUGUUUUGAAAGGAUUUGAACUUUAGGGGUGAUAGAUGUUUUAUUGGCAUGGAUGAAUUGACCAAUUCUUGGAGAUAUAUGAUGUUUCAAUUUUGUUCUAUUUUAGAAUUAGAUUUCUAAGUUUCGAACAUACUGUGAAUGCUGAACAAACUGGUCAAUCUGUAACAUAAUUUUUGGUCUCUGGUAAGUUGUCGGUCUAAGCAGGAGGAUGUGACUCAUGGAUCUGCAUCAGCAGCUAUAGUAUUUCUCCUCGUAUUUGUAAUUUUUUGUUUCGAGUAGAGGGUUACCUUUCGUGGCAUGAUUUUCUCGGAGAGGUUUAACUGUUUAGGUUAUUGUUUGUGAUUGAAUGGUACUUGAAUGACUUCAUUCCCGUAUUAGGUCAUCUCCUUUGGUCCUCUGUGUUGUGCGCUUGAAUUCAUGCAGAAGAUGUUUGAAUAUUGUUUCCUUUUGAGAACAACGGUUUUAAGUGUAGUUUCAGAAAGUUACUGGAAAUUCUUAGUGAUUGUUGUGUUCUCUCUAUUGUCCUCGACGACCAUGUACAUCUUGAUUAAGCUAACAUUCCACUUCUGGCCUUGUGCCAACUUGCUAAUAGUCAUCUCAGUGAGCUUUUGUAAAGUAAGAUACAAGCUUGACAGACAAAGUAAAACUUGAGUACUCUAGCAUCAAUAAGUAGUUUGGGUUUUCACACUUAAAUCCUUAACUUUGGUUCUCAUUUGAUUGUAUCGAAGCCGGUUGUUUCAAAGAAAAUCAAGCAAAAUCCAUUGGUGACAUUUUGUGUUGAUUUAUGUAUAUAUCACUAUAAAAUUAUAUGCCAGGCUGUACACCAAUCAUUAGUUUGACAAUAAUGUCAUUAGACUGUUGCAUGCUUAAGAAGUAAUGCCAGGGUUGUUUUGUCUUAGGACUCAAUGGAACAUGCAUCUUUAGAAACUUAGCAUGGAUGCCAGCUCCCAGCUGUUUACUUAAUGAACACUUCCAAGUUACACAUCUUUGAUUGCAGUCAUUUGGUUUUGUAGUAUUAAAGAUUUCGUCGAGUUAAUAUUUGUGUAUUUUUUAAUUAUUAUUACUUUCUUACUAAGUUGCUACUACUCCUAUAAGAAAGUGGCCAUUUACUUUGGAAAAAAAAUUUGCUCACUGUUUUUACCACGGUGUAACAUCGCCACCCUACUCAAUGCAUCCACCUGUUAUACAAGUCCUGUUCUCCAAGACCCCAUUGUCCAAGAAAAUUGUGUUCACCCACAGUUCAAUCUUUAUUCCAACGGUGGAGGAGAAAAUACAACAACAAAGAGUGGGUGAUCACAAUUUCCUUGGACCAUGGGGUCUUGGAGGACAGGUCUACCCGUUAUACAUCGUAUAUACCUUAAUUGGAGGUAGUGAGCAAAGUUGUUGUCUCAUCUUUUGAAAUCGAAUUAUGUGUGAAAGUAUACCUCAAAGUCUCUUAGAAUCCGGGAAGUUGAGCUUUCCGAAUGGACAUACGCAUUGUGUUAAGAGAUAAAACAUUAUUGGAGAAAGGUUAUAAACUGCAUGGUGGUGAGAUAUUUUGAUGCAAUUAUUGAUGGAGAAAAUUCCAGCUGGUUUUGUUUUGUUCCAAUAUCUGAGUUUUUAGGGUCUCUUAAUUUUAGAUAUUUUACGAUGGCGAAAGAACAUUGUUUUGUGAUGCGGUCCUUGUUUGCUAUGUUUGACUUUUUUUUCGAAUGGUAGGGCUAUGUAACUUAGAUUUGGAAAUGGGGAAUGGAUCUUUGCAAAUAUACUUGGCAUCUUACAUAUCCUCUCAUGUAACUUAGAUUCCUUACUAACAAAGCAUUCAAUUCCCCCUUGUUUGCAGAGGUGAGAAAGCAUUUUGCAGCGCCGAGUGCCGUGACAAGCACAUGCGCAGCGACCAUCAUAAAGACAAGUGCAGAUCCGGAGCAUUAAAAUCGCUUGAUUACUCAGCGUCGCCGUGCUCUCGUCCGCUCGUCUUCUUGGCCGGGGUUGAGGUGGCAUGAAAGUUUUCCUAUACCGAACCUAUAUAGUAAAUAAUACAAAAAGGACGGGAAAGGUGAUGGGAAUAAAUUGGGUAUAACCGGGAUAAGACGGUAGAAAAAUACCGGACAGGGUUCAAGCAGGCAGUCUCUACAGUCUACAAUUUAAAUUGCAAGAAUUUUUUUUAUUAGAUUGGACAAGUUGUAUUGAGAAAUUGGCAAGUUAUAUAAUCCGUGGGAGAGACAUUUAUACAAUAAUGUUACUGCUUUUCAAAAGUUUCAGUUGUACAAUGGUAAUUUGGAUUGGAUCAAGUUAGUUAUAAUAUUUAGAUACCAAACUCGCUAUCCAAGGAAGUUGAAUUUGAAACUUUUUAUCUUGAAGGAGAUCGUCCUAGUGUUAGUGAGUAUAGUUUUUGUAUCAUUUUUUGAAACUUUUUUUUUUUUUUUUUUUAAAUAAACCACGCCGCAUUGAAAUAUAAUAUAAAAGAACGAAUUAAAUGAUACGUAAUAUUGAGGCGACCUCAUAUUUUGGCAAGAUCUAAUAGUUUCUGUGAACAUGAUUAGGCCUACUAGUCUAUUUUUUGGGGUCAUUAUUUAUUCUUAUUGAAGACAACAAACCGUCCCUGCCAGGUGAAAUAUCUUGUUUCACGAUACAAGCGUUAUUAGGGGAAUAGGGAGUGGAACACAUAACAUGGAUGAAAUUGAUAGCAAGGAACCAAUCGAGGUACAAAUCUUUUACCAAUUCAAAAAUACUGGUCUAUUCCAAUUGAAUUCCUUUUAAGGAAAACUAACGAAAAUAGCUUGAAAACUUUGAGUUUUAAUCAAAAUAACAAAAAAGUGUUGAAUAGUACCAUUAAUGACUUUUUAGAAUAAACAUGUCAUUUUCGUUAAAAAUGAACAGUACCGGAACAGUAUUGGAAGUGUUUCGUUAAAACUCCUUUUUAAGCCAGAAAACCUACACCAUCACUCAGACUAAUAAAAGUCCAAAUUCCGGCGAAACCCUAAAAAUAACUUCUCAUUCUGCAAAGAUUCAUAUAGUACUGUUUUAUAAUCAUCUUUGAAAGAACAAGACCACAAUUUUUCUUCAUAUAAUACUUAAUCGAACAAGUUUGUGCUAAAUUUGAAUUAUUUUAACGAGGCCAACAAUCUAACAAGUAAUGAAUUGUAUUGGAGUGUAUGAGCAGCAAGUAACUCAGUAAAUAAUCACAUUGAGACUCCGAUGUCGGGAGCUAGCACACUGAUUUUUAUCUAUGAAUCAAGUUCAACUUAGCAUCAGAAGCCAACAAAAUUCAAUAACAAGGAGGCAAGCAAAAACUUGAUGGAGCUCCAAGUAAAAAUCUAGUCCUCAACCUGCCAAAUACAAGUCAAAUGCAACCACUAAAUCAGUUGUUCAAAAACUAACAAUAAUGGAUUAGAAGAUGGAUCUGAAUAACCAUCUUGGUUAAGACGCUGUCAAGUGCCAAUUGGUGACCAUGUUGGAAAUAAUAAGAUUCUCUAUUAAUUUUCUUCUUGGUGUUGGCAGCAGUAAUCAAACUUAAGCCUCAAACAAAUCCCUUAUGCUUGCUUCCCCUUUGACAACACUAAAUUAUCAGCAUUUCCACCCCCACAAAGGCUGUCAACAAGACACGGCUCAUAUACUAACUCUGAUAGAGGAGACAACUUGAAACCACUAGGUCACUUGCGACCACAUAACUUCAUUUCUUUGACACGAAAAAAAUUAAUCCAAAAUCGUGGAAGCUGAAACCAGACGUGACUGAGUUUUAUCCUGAUAUUAGUUUACCCACAUCCCCAUUUUGAUAACACAGAAACGGUGAUACAAAUGGAACACAACUGAAAUAUGACUCCAAAUCACUGCAUAAGUAGUCAUCUAGGUGAAAUGAAUUAUUAAAUGAAGUGCUUUAAUUGAUGUUUCACAGAAUAUGCUUUUCUCAUAGAAUGAAAACACCAAUACUAGGAGCUUUUAUAAACACCAAUACCCAGCUAAAGUUCAUGUGCCUCCAAUCCCCACUAUUAAGUCCACCUGAGCUCUUUUCCUGCUUCUAGUGUGGGACUAUUUCUUCAAACUUCAGACAUCUACCGAGCACAUGAACGGAAUUAUCAUUGUAACUUUUUUCCAUUUCUUUUCUUUGAUUUUACUCUCUGACUACACUCUGAAUUCAGAUAGCAUCUAAUAUAUUCCAUCUAUUAACUUUCCGGCAAAAGCACCUCUAAGAAAAUCUACUUUAUGGCUCCACACACACACACACACCCACCAUUAUAAACAAUUAUAUCUACAAAUGCAUAUCAGAAAGAUUUUCCACCUAGUUUUGUUGAAAACAUAAAUAACCAAGGGCAACAUCUUUCUAUGCCUGGAAAAAGCUUGAGGUUCAACCCUAAAACCAAUUGGCAAUAAGCGGAGUAAUCCCACUCCUUAUAAGACCACACAAAGGACCCUUAACAUUUCGUUGUAGGACAACACUCCACAUCCUCCCCAAGAUCAUAACAAUGAACAAUCUAAAUUAGCAAUUGACUGCUGAAAUUCAUGUCAGAAAAAUGUGAGCUUACUUCUUCUAAUUGCAAUUAUAACCAAAACCCACAUAGAAAAUCAUCGGCCUUGUUAAAACUCACAUAUAAUAACUAUCAAAUGCUAAUCAUUUGUCCUAAUUUUGAGAUUAUUAAGAUGGGUUAUGAUUAGUUCUGAAAAAAUUGAUGAAUUGGUCGGGGGCUACUGCAUAAAACUAUCAGAAAUUCAACCAAAUCACAAACCCAAUCAUAAGAAUAAAAAAAAAAAAAAAAAACAAAAACAAUAAUACCCGAGCGGGAUGAUGAUUCGGGUCUGGUGAUAAAGAACGCUCGAGGUUCACAAGUCUACCUUCAAGAGCAUCAAACUUUUGCUUCACCUACAUAAUCCCCCACAACAAAGAAAAUGAAAACUUGAAAUCAUAUGUUGAGUGUAUGUAUGUGUGUGUGUGUCUAUAUAUAUAUAUAUAUAUAUAUAUAUAUAUAAAGAGAGAGAGAGAGAGAGGUGAGAGAGUUGAUGGGUUACAUACAUCGGAGGAAAGAGCGAAGCGGUCGACGAGAAGAUCUUUCCAGACGAGGUGAGAGAUUGCAGCUCCAGUCUGCGAAAACCCAACACCGAACCAAACCAAACGAGUUCUUAUCAUCUUUCUUUUUGGUUUUCCCAUUUGGGGUUUUGAGAAUCACAGAAAUCUUAGAACCACAAUGUGCUGUUGCUGCUGCUGCUGCCGAACGACAAUCACAAUUCUCUUUUCCUAUACAAUUUAUUAUUUCCAAAUGAAAAAGUUUUAAGAGGCAAAUAACCAACAGAAGUUCUAAUAUGGUUACUCAAAAUUACCAUAAUACUCACGGAUUUUUAUUUUAGGGAGCAAAACUCUAAUUAGACUAAAGUUCAGUGAACAUUAUUUCAAUUUUCUCUUGUUUUUUAUUUAGUUACUUUAUGUCAAAAGUGAAAACAGAAAACAUGACAACUUUUUAGAAUAUGCAUUGCUGAAACACAUUAAAAAUAGAUCUUCACAAUUACAAUGAAAACAACUAACGCAAGACUUCUGUAAGGGUGCGUAAUGCCUGUGAUUAAAAAAAUAUCUCUUACACCCACGUGUGUGCGUGCAGAGUGAUUAGUUUUUAUUUAAAGCCGAAGGAGAAAAUAUUUGAGACAACAUUAUGGACUUGAGAGAAGGGUCUUGGGGGGUUUUCGCCCCUAAUGGGUCGGGCAUCAAGGACAAAAAUCUGAUAUGGUGAGGGUGGGAAGGGCAGGGUACGAAUGACAUUCUAAUUCCAAACCCAAACACGCGCUGCCUACUUGAAUAAGAUUUUUCUCCAAAGACACAACAAAACUAGACAAUAAUUUGCACAAAAUGUGGAAAUAUUAGUGUACCAAGUAAAAUUAAAAACUAAAAACAAUGUUGAAUAGUUUUCUAAAUUUGUUUAGAUUUAGUUUUGUGAUUAUAUAUUUACCAAUUUCCCACCAUCAUUUGCUAGGAUGCCACUCCACCCAACAAGUUUCUAAGGUUGUUUUCAGCCAACCUCCAAAGGAGAGAUAUUUCCAUGUAACCAAAACAUAAGGUCAAUACACUACGUGUCAUAAUAUAAGUAAAUAUAAGUAGAGAGGAUAUAUUUUUCAAUGUCCCUUCACUUGUAUCACCGGCUCGUGUUCUAGGCACAUUGAAAAAAAAAAUCUCCAACAUAAGAAGGAAAUUCAGCAGAAAGUCAAACCCCAAUAUGAUAUUGGGAUUAAACCUAAAUUAUGAAACAAGGAUCUUGCUAAAUAUAAAUAGUAUGCAAAUACACAUAGGGUGAGCAAUACAAGUUUGUACACCCAACUGAAACGCAUGAACAUGUCAAAAUUUCAAAUGAAAUACUCAAAUGCAAGGCAUGCGAAUAAUGUUAUUAGUUCUAAUAAGUAUAAAAAGGACACGGAAUUAUAUAACUCGUACAAAAAAGCGAAAGAUUUGCCGUUUAAAUGUGGUCGACUAGACCAGAUGGUGGCAAUUAGAGAGCCAUCCAUGUAAGCAGAUGCACCAGCUAGUUCUUGGCGGCGGCCGCGGGCACCAAAUGUUGGGGCUGUAGGCACAUGAAAGAGGAAUUAGUAAAUAUGAGAACCCAGAAUGGAAAAUCGAAGGCUCGCCGGUAAAUUUAUGUUCAGGGUUAGACUAGUUUCUUACCGCUUGUAGCUCCUCUUCAUGCUUUGGAAUAAAAGCAGUAUCAACCUUGCCAUUUUUGAAAUCCUCUAUGUCAAGGAUAAGUUUAUGGUAUUCAAUGGUUGUGGGAACCCCUGUGGAACAAAGGCAAUAACUACAUCAACCACCAUUAACAACGAAAAAGGAGUGUUCCACAUUUACAUCGUGAAUUAAAGCAACCUGAAACUCUCAAUAAAACUUUAAAGGUCGUACCCAGUGCACAAGGCUCCCGCUUUACGCAGGGUCUAGGAGAGGUGAAUGUCGGCUAGCCUUACCCCCAUUUAUGGAGAGGCUGCUCCCAAGUCUCGAACCCGAGACCUACCGCUCAUGGGCGAAGGCACUUGCCAUCGCACCAAAUGCGACCUCUUCUCAAUAAAACUUUGACAAAAAAAAAAAAAACACUUGCCCCUUCAGUUCUAUUCACAACACUGCUUAAAUUCAAAUGGCUCACACGAAGUUUCUUCUACAUUAAGUCCAAUUAUGCUGACAUAAAAAUUAAAUAAAAUUGAAUGAUUUCACCAAUUAACUAUAUUAUUAUGUACCCGUUAUAACAGUGUCGUCAAGAGCCCUCUUCAUUCGCUCAAUCGCCUUUUCUCUUGUUGGUGCCCAAACAAUAAGCUACAUCAAGAGAGCAAUAUUGCCAAAGUGAUUAAAAUUUAGAACAAUAAACCUGAAAGCUAUAAUAUAUUGGUGAUGUAUAUGGGCCACAAACCUUUCCAAGAAGGGAAUCAUAGUUUGGAGGAACCACAUAAUCAGGAUAAACAUGGCUAUCCAUUCGAACAAAGGGACCUCCAGAUGGUAAGUAGGCUGUUAUUCUUCCUGUUAAAAAAAGCAGAAGAUUAUGUAUUAAAAACAGAGUGAAUACAUAAUGUCAUUGUUAAACCAGUGCAUGUGCAACCCUAGUAAAAUAAAUGGAAUUCUUGGAGUGCUGAACUAACUUAGAGCCCUAUAUCAUCAGGGUUUGGCUGCAUCACAUAGUACAAUACAGAAUAACAGAAAAAGACCAAAUGUUGCGUAAGUGUCAUGCUGUACUAAGCAAUUAACCAAGGGAACCAGAAUAUAACUAUGUAUACAUACCUGGCCCAGGUCGGAAUCCUUUAAAAGCAUCUUCUGCAUUGAUACGGCAUUCAAUUGAAUGUCCUCUGAGCACUAUAUCUUCCUGUAGAUGGAGCCACCUCCGUCAGACAUUGAACAGAAAGCGUCAAAUAUCUCGAAAACUACACUACUGUAAUUACCUGUGUGUAUCGGAGUUUUUCACCCAUAGCCACAUGAAUUUGUUCUUCAAUCAAGUCAACAGAGGAAAUCAUUUCUGUCACAGGAUGCUCAACCUGUCAUUCCAUUGGCAAAAAUAUUAUAGUUUAGCAUAACUAAGCAAAUUUUUAAUACCAGUCAAAGCCAUCCUCAAAAGAUUAGUUUAACCUGAAUCCGAGUGUUCAUUUCCAUGAAGUAAAAGGAACCUCUUUCGUCCAAAAGGAAUUCAACGGUUCCAACACCAAUGUAGCCAAUUGAUGCUGCUGCUGCAACUGCUGCAUCACCCAUAGCUUUCCGCAGUUCUGGGGUCAAUGCAGGGGAAGGUGCUUCUUCCAGAAGCUUUUGGUUCCUUCUCUGUGAACGUUACAUUCAACAAAUGAAAACAAUUUGGCAGGGGUCAUUGGGCUUUGCAUUUCUUAGAAAUGACUAGAGAAUAAAUGAAUAAUAACUUGAAGACAGCUGUAUUCUAAUAACUAGAAAUAAACUUUCACAGUGAUUCAUGCAACUAAUAAGGCCGGUUAAAGUACCUGGAUGCUGCAAUCCCGCUCUCCAAAGUGAAUAACAUUACCAUAUUUAUCUGCAAGAACCUGUUUUUACAAGGGAUAAAUCAAGAGAUUGCAGGUUUGCGUCAAAUGUCAAAAUGAAUACUACUUAUAAUUCAAAACAUACAAUAUACACCAUAAAAAUCAUCAGGAACUUUUACAAGCACAUUACCUGAAACUCAAUGUGUCUAGGAUUUUGGAUGUACUUUUCCAAAUAAACUCCAUCAUUUCCAAAAGCAGCUGCAGCCUCACUCUUUGCUUGCUGCAAACAAUCAAAUUGAAGCAAAACAAUAAGCCGAUGGAAACAGCAAUGUAAUACAAAAAUAUAAUGCUCAUUUAAGGAUAACAAGACCAACUAAACUAAGAGCCCAACCAUACAAAUUUAUAGUGAAAUUUAUCUGACACAAAACUUAAACAAUAUCUCCAAAAAUGAUCAACGAAACACUUUCGGAGAAGACAAACAAUAAAAGAAGGCAUCAGCAAAGCAACAAAGUAAGAAGACAAUGCAUUGGGUACAGUACCUGCAACAACUUCACAAACUCCUCAGGUUCUUUAGCAAGACGCAUGCCACGUCCUCCACCUCCUGCUGUGGCCUUCAAUAGCAAAACAUGCUUAUCUUUUAACAGAAACAAUAACAGACAAAAAUCUAUAUUGGCUUUCCUUAACUCAGUGUUUGAAAAAAAAUAUUCGAGUUUAUAUGUAACACACUUAUAAUUGAAAUCGUUUAGAAUUGUUUCUGCCAAAUGAUGAAACUCAUCCAAAGAUCAGAGAUAACAGUUAGAACUCAUUAUAGUUAGUAGUUACUAGGAACUAAGCUGCAAACCUAAAUUUCUGUAAGGAACUGCAUGCUUGACUGAAACUCAAAAUUAAAACCUACAAAACUUUUAUUCUAGCUUCAUUGAGUUGGUACAUCUUCAUAGCUUAGCAUUAUAGCAAGGAAAUUGGGUAGCGUACUAGCAUCAAACAGAUACAAUUCAUGAGCAGCUAUUCUAUGCAAUAGGCAUGUGUUCCUCUAAAUUAAUUUUCUAUGUUAACACUAAAAGGUCUGCACUGUAAAUUCUAGGACAUAGCGGGGUAUAAUGAGUUUUAAUUAUCAUGAGACAUAAUAAGACAAGAUACUUUACCUUGAUCAUUACAGGAAAACCAAUCUCAUCUGCAAGCCUGAUUCCUUCCUCUGUGCUCUGUAAAGGAAAAAAAGAGAGUACAAUCAAGGAAAUAUUAAUUUUUAUGACCACCUAGUUCAGGAGGCGUUGAAACUUAUAAUACCUAAGGUUAAAGUACAUACCUGUAGUAAUCCAUCACUUCCAGGUACAGUUGGGACACCUGCUUUCUUCAUUGUGUCUCUGGCAGUAGAUUUAUCACCCAUAACACGGAUGCUCUCGGGCUGCAAAUUGUAAUCAUAAUUUCAAACAUUUGUCCCACAUGAGAACAUGAAUUAACUAAUAAGAGACUAAAUAUAGAGCCAAGUGCUUCAUUACUAUUCACUCUAAGAUGUAUGGAACAAGUGCAAUAUAAUGUAUAAAACCAAAUAAAAUACAACUAAAGAAAAAAAAAAUUAUAUAUAUAUAUGUGUGUGUGUGUGUGUGUGUGUAUCAUUUCUGUCUAAGGGAAAAAAUAAUUUUUUCCAAGUUGAAAAUUAUAUUCAUUAAUCACCAAAAAGCUAGCUAAUAAAUCAAUCUAAUAUAUCGCAUGAACUUAUCACAGAAAUGUUCUCUUGGUCACUAACCCUUGGAAUUGAUAUCAAGGGUUGAGAUUAAAACAUUAAAAGCACAUCCAAUUUAUUAUCCACCCUUGAUAUAUAGUCCAUUGGUACAACAACAACAACAACAACAACAAAGCCUUUUCCCACUAAGUGGGGUCAGCUAUAUGAAUCCUAGAACGCCAUUGCGCUCGGUUUUGUGUCAUGUCCUCCGUUAGAUCCAAGUACUCUAAGUCUUUUCUUAGGGUCUCUUCCAAAGUUUUCCUAGGUCUUCCUCUACCCCUUUGGCCUCGAACCUCUGUCCCGUAGUCACAUCUUCGAACCGGAGCGUCAGUAGGCCUUCUUUGCGCAUGUCCAAACCACCGUAACCGAUUUUCUCUCAUCUUUCCUUCAACUUCGGCUACUCCUACUUCACCUCGGAUAUCCUCAUUCCCAAUCUUAUCCUUUCUCGUGUGCCCACACAUCCCACGAAGCAUCCUUAUCUCCGCUACACCCAUUUUGUGUACGUGUUGAUGCUUCACCGCCCAACAUUCUGUGCCAUACAACAUCGCUGGCCUUAUUGCCGUCCUAUAAAAUUUUCCCUUGAGCUUCAGUGGCCUACGACGGUCACACAACACGCCGGAUGCACUCUUACACUUCAUCCAUCCAGCUUGUAUUUUAUGGUUGAGAUCUCCAUCUAAUUCUCCAUUCUCUUGCAAGAUAGAUCCUAAGUAGCGAAAACGGUCGCUUUUUGUGAUCUUCGCUAGAUUGCUCCGGUCAUUAGUGUGGAUAAGUAUAUAAAUGGAUAGAGAUAGGAAAGCAAACACCAGAUGUACGUGGUUCACCCAUAUUGGCUACGUCCACGGAAUAGAGGAGUUCUCAUUAAUUGUGAAGGGUUUACACAAGUACAUAGGUUCAAGCUCUCCUUUAGUGAGUACAAGUGAAUGAUUUAGUACAAAUGACAUUAGGAAAUAUUGUGGGAGAAUGAUCUCGUAAUCACGAAACUUCUAAGUACCGGCGUGUGGUAUCGUCUUGACUUGCCUUAGGUAGAUGUGGCAUCUUCUCUGGAAGUACUCUUCCUCCAUCCAGGGGUGGUAUCUUUAACUAGUGGAGAUGCACAAGGUAAUGUAUCAAUUUCACUUGAAGCUUACUUGUAGUUUCAGGCUUGGUCAAGCGCGAUACAAACCAUGUAGUAGGAGUCCCCCAAGUCGCCGAGCUAGAGGAUCUGCUGAAAGAGGUGACAGACAAGGUAAGCAAUCAGAGCUCCAAGCAAUCAGUCCCAGAUCAGAACUUUGAUUUCGAGUUCCGGCUGAUUGUUCACAUUCUCCCUAUCUUGCGGCAGCAUGAAGGAUAAAGAGAAGAAAAAUGAGAAGAGAUGAUAUGGGAUACUUUUGCUUUUGAAGAAGUAACUUUCCACAGGCUUAUUUUUGAACUGGGCUGGAGGGUUUUCUGGUUUCCUCCAGAGUAUAAGGCCGACUGAAGAAUUUGAGGGUCAAAACAAGUCCAUCAAAUCUAUAGUACGUUCGACCCUGCUGAUAUGGGAUACUUUUGCUUUUGACAGAGUAGUGGAUGUAUCGGCACGUGUGCUGUUACACUUGUCUCCACAUGCUUCCUUGUAUCCUUCUCACUUGCCUAUCUCUGUUCCUCAAGGCAGAUGCGGUAUCUUCCCUGGAAGCAUAAGAUGUUGAAGAUGAGUACUCGAGAGCAAUGCCAGGUAAGUAAUAAUCAAGUAAGGGGUUCCAGGCAGUCAGAUUCCUGACUGGAAGCUUGAUUCCAAGUGCUGACUGAUUGCUCUCUUUCUCCUUGUCUUGCAGGUAAGAACAAGGCCAAAGGAAAAGACAGGGAAAAAAGCAUGAUAUGGGAUACUCUUGCUUUUAACCCUGAUGAUAUGAGAUAUUCUUGCUCUAGUAUAGCUUGUUUGCAGAGGUAUUAUCAGGGGGAAAGAAAGCUGAAUAUUUCGAAAGGCUUCUUUGGGAGUGCCCUCUCAGAUAUAUGAGGAAGGGUUGAGCAUUUUUGCAGGUCUGCCUGUCCGUUGGGGAUGGAGGUCGACAUAUAUAGGAGUCUCCCUCCUAACAACAAGUAGUAAUGCUAUUCCUUUACCCUGCUUGGUCAUAGCACGGUAGUAGUGGGAGCUGCCAGCUUCACAUGUUUUAACUCUGUCAGAGCACUUUGAAAAAGUGAUCUGUGGUAUCUGGAAAGCUGAUGUUGCGUGUGAAGAUUACAGACAAGCUUUAUCCAAGGAGAUCCGGCUCUUGAAGUUGGGAAAGUGGUGCCUCUUCGGUUUUCGAACAAGCAAUCCUGUCGGAGAUCUGGCUCUCGAGAGAUUCGGAGAACGAUGCCUUUUUCGAUUUUUUGAGAAAGCAAUCCUGCUAAGGGUCUGGCUCUCGAGAUUCGGAGAGCGGUGUCUCUUCGAUUUUUGAGAAAGUAAUCAUGUUGGGAGUCUGGCUCUCGAGAUUCGGAGGGCGAUGCCUCUUCGAUUUUGGAGCAAGCAAUCUUGUUGGGAGUGUUUUCUCGAAUGUGAGAAAAGGUUGGGCAUGUUUGCUAGUCUACCUUGCCACGAAGCACAGAGGUUGACACACAGGGACUUUCCAAUUAUCCAGCAGUGGAACUGUUCCUUUACCCUUGUGGGUAAUAAUAUGGUAGCUAGACCUUCAAAAUUUAUGUGUCUAAACUUUGUUAGUGCUGUUUCUUUGCUAUUCUUUUACCCUUCUUGGUCAGAGCGAUGUAGUGGGAGCUGCAAGCUUCACGUGUCUCAACUUUGUCAGAGAACUUUGGCAAAGUUAUCUGUGGUACCCAUGAGCUAAUGUUGCGUGUGGGAAGUGGGUGAUUGAACAGUAAGAUUCAUGUGCUUUCUACUUCACCAGAAAUCUUCGACAUAAUGCCCAUGAUUUCCGCAAAGCUGAGUGUGCGUGUGACAGGUGCUGACAAGGCUAGAAAAGUAGGUGCCUCUAGGAUUUCUGAGAUCGGCCCUCGUGGUCUCUGAGCAGCCCAGCUUUUGAGAAAGCAAGCGCCUCUUCGAUUUCUAAGAUCGGCCUUCGUGGUCUUUGAGCAGCCCAACUUUUGAGAAAGCAAACAUCUCGUGGUCUCUGAGCAGCCCAGCUUUUGAGAAAGCAAACGCCUCUUCGAUUUCUGAAGCUCCGUCGAGUGCAGAUUUUUAUAGAGGCUGGCAUUAAGUUCCAAAGCACACUUGAAUCUCCACCAGUAGAAGCUCCAUUCUUGCACUUCUAAGAUCUUGAUUUGUCCGACCUCUUCUCUCUUCAACACCUUUAAAAAUGUCUGGCCCUUCCGACCAUCGUUUUGACUUGAACCUUGUUGAAGAGGCAGCCACGCCUUCUCCAGACAACAUAUGGCACCCAUCCUUCGUCUCCCCUACUGGUCCUCUUACCGUUGGGGAUUCCGUGAUGAAGAAUGAUAUGACCGCUGCGGUAGUGGCCAGGAACCUUCUCACUCCCAAAGAUAACAGACUACUUUCCAAACGGUCUGAUGAGUUGGCUGUUAAGGAUUCUCUGGCUCUCAGUGUUCAGUGUGCAGGUUCUGUGUCUAACAUGGCCCAACGUCUAUUUGCUCGAACCCGCCAAGUUGAAUCAUUGGCGGCUGAAGUGAUGAGUCUCAAACAGGAGAUUAGAGGGCUCAAGCAUGAGAAUAAACAGUUGCACUGGCUCGCACAUGACUAUGCUACAAACAUGAAGAGGAAGCUUGACCAGAUGAAGGAAUCUGAUGAUCAGGUUUUACUUGAUCAUCAGAGGUUUGUGGGUUUGUUCCAAAGGCAUUUAUUGCCUUCGUCUUCUAGGGCUGUACCGCGUAAUGAAGCUCCAAAUGAUCAACCUCUGCUGCCUCCUCCUUCUAGGGUUCUGUCCAGUACUGAGGCUCCAAAUGAUCCCCCUCCAGUGCCUGCUCUUUCUGGGGCUCUACCGACUGCUGAGACUUCUCCUAAGCAACCUUUGUGAAGGCUCCCUCUUGUUUAUUUAUUUUGACUCAUAUAUAUGUACAUAUUUGUGACUUAUCGGGGAUAUCAAUAAAUAGCUUUCCUUCAUUUCAACGUAUUGUGUUAAAUACACCAAAGCCUUCUUCGCUAAGUUCUUUGAAUUUUCUUUUGUUGAAGCUUGUAUGUUGAAGCUUUGUGUGGAGCAUGUAGGUUGAGAUAGUAUUCCCUUAAUUUCCUGAGUGAGGAAAACUUCUCGGUUGGAGACUUGGAAAAUCCAAGUCACUGAGUGGGAUCGGCUAUAUGAAUCUUUGAACGUCAUUGUGCUCGGUCCUGUGUCAUGUCCUCUGUUAGAUCCAAGUACUCUAAGUCUUUUCUUAGAGUCUCUUCCAAAGUUUUCCUAGGUCUUCCUCUACCCCUUCGGCCCUGAACCUCUGUCCCAUAGUCGCAUCUUCUAAUCGGAGCGUCAGUAGGCCUUCUUUGCACAUGUCCAAACCACCGUAACCGAUUUUCUCUCAUCUUUCCUUCAAUUUCGGCUACUCCUACUUUACCCCGGAUAUCCUCAUUCCUAAUCUUAUCCUUUCUUGUGUGCCCACACAUCCAACGAAGCAUCCUCAUCUCCGCUACACCCAUUUUGUGUACGUGUUGAUGCUUCAUCGCCCAACAUUCUGUGCCAUACAGCAUCGCCGACCUUAUUGUCGUCCUAUAAAAUUUUCCCUUGAACUUCAGUGGCAUACGGACCCAGGACUUCACAAUGUGGUGGGCUGAGCCUUGGAACUAAAUAAGAGAAUGGAAGAGAGAGGGCUGAAAUGAGAGGCAAAACGAAAAAGAAAUUUCCUUGAAAUGGGAUGGGACUAUCACACACCCAAGCCACCACCUUUGACCAUGCCUCGUUUACAUCUAAAAAUUAGAAUUAAGAGAAUAGCAAAAAACUUACUAGCUUGAAAUUUUUAACGUGUUAUUUUUAUUUUAAUUGAAGUACUUACCUUAGGCCCAAUAAAAUUGAUUCCAUGUUCUUUGCACAUUUCAACAAAUGAUGCAUUCUCAGAAAGGAAACCAUAUCCUGGAUGCAACAUUGUACAUUUCCGACUGAUGGCAGCAGAUAAAACAUUUGGAACAACUAAGUACCUGCACAAAGACAUAUCAAAAUGGCCAAGCUUAAUCAUUAUCAUCUGUAACAGAAGCUGGGACAAAAAUUUAUUAUCGUAUUAACAUAAAGAAUGUAGUUCACAGGUAGAGUAGUAAAACAAGGCAGGCCGGCUUGAGCAUGGCACAAUUCAAAUGGGCAUGGAAGGGCUAGGUCACAUCCUAUGUUGUGCCAUGCCAAGCAAAAGGCAUGAGGCAUUUAAAACCAUUAGUCCAUUACUGCUAGAAUCUUUGUUUUCAGUUUCUUUAUUUCACAUCUUUACAAACAAUGAUUAUCUAUCCGUGAUGUUACUAUGUGUUUUACUUUCACAUCUUUAUAAGCAAUGAUUAUCUAUCAGUGAUGUUAUUAUGUGUUUUACUUUCAUCCUCGACUUCUUUCCAACAGAAAAAAAAUAAUAAUAAUCACAUAUUUGUAAUCUUGCUAGCCACAUCUUAGUAAUUAAUAUAACUUUAUAAUUGGUACUAAGUGAGAUACAAAAAGAAUUGUAAUGAAUGAUCAGAUCACUCUUCCGUAAUUACUGUACAUUGAAUAAUUAAAAAAAGAUAUCAUGGUUCCUUUCGGAUUCCUAACUCAUAAACUUAAAUGGUUUUCAGAAAGGAUUCAUUUGUGAUAGUUACAAUGUUGGUUUUUUUGGGGGGGGGGGGGGGAAGACAAAGAACAACGUAACAAAAUUUAACUGAUCGACCACUUACGAUUGACUGCUUGCUGCUUCACCAAUACAAACUGAUUCGUCAGCCAAUUUCACAUGAAGUGCAUCCUUGUCUAUUGUUGAGUAAACAGCCACACAAGGUAUUCCCAUCUCAUGGGCUGUUCGAAUAACGCGAACAGCAAUUUCCCCUCUAUUUGCCACCAGAAUUUUUUCAGCAUGACAUGUAGCAUGAAGAGCUCCCCCAUGCUUUCUGGAUUUAACACUAACUUGAGCACCCUGAACUCUCUGCCUUAAAAGUUGACUUUAUUUCCCACCAUAAAGCUACAUUGAGAACUGCGGAUCUCUCUAGUUCUCCCAAAAAAUAAGCCCUUUCAUUGACAGAAGAAAACGAAAACCAAAUGUAAAGGAAAAUGUGAAUAAACAACAAAUUAAGUAUGGAGAUUAUAACAGAAGCAUUAAGGUACAGGAUUCUGAAGACAUUAAACAAGCAGACCUUUGUUUUGUAAUGCUAUUUAUCUAGGAAUUCCAAUACGUUAACCUAAUUAGUUAGAAUCUUUCACUUAAUAUCUGUUUUACUGCAUCGAAUAAACAAAGGUAAAGUUUUGAGCUUUUCUACAAAACUGAAGAUAUAAAAGGUAAUUAUCUACCAAGACAUGUUCUUCAGUCCAUAUAAGAACCUAAACCAAACCUCAAGCUAAGUAAAACACAUUUGAAAAGUCGAUCCGUUUCAACAUAUAGAAAGCUUGCAUCAACCUUGAAUAAUUCACUAUCACACCGAUCAUAUCGGGAUUAAGAUCAAUUGAUUAGCCACUCUAAUUCCAACAAAUUAGAACACCACAUGGCAUAUGAAACCCAGGCCCAAUUCAAAAAAUGAAAUAAGCAAAGGGUAACAGCGGUACUCACCGGAGUUGGCGUGACAGUCUUGCAGAUGGGCAUUGUGGCGUCCAUUUUCGAAACAAAGCGACCUGAGUUACACCAAAUAAACAAAACCAAAUACCUCAGUCACCGCCAUUGCAGAACAACAACAAAACACAGUAUAAUUUGUUAGAAAUUGUAAAACUCUUUCGACAAAAUCGAGCAGAAGCUAAGGAGGAAUCAACCAUUCGCAAUUUCGCAUGAUUGUAAUUCUAUCAUAGAAAGAGACCACAACCCAAAAAAUGGGAAGUUGCUGCCAUUUCGAAACGAUUCAAAUGCUAUAAAUUUGAAACUGGUACAGGGAAAUACCUUGCUGAAUUGGCCCAGAUCAAGAUCAGAUUGAAUGAAGAAGAAGAAAAAAAAGCCUCUUUGGUACCCCCAAGAGAGAGAGAGAGAGAGAUGAGAAGGUGGGAAGGUCCGAGGGUAGAUAUAAAGAGAGUAGAGUUAUCGAUAAAAACGAGGGGAGCGAGUGAUUGAAAUCUCCGCCCACAAGGAAAUGGGAAAAGUACCGCCAGCCCUGACAGCCGCCGCCCUCCCCCUUCCCCGGCGGCCACUCCACUCUCUAUCCAUAAUCCUCAAAACGAGAUAUAAAACGAAAAGCAAAACAUUAAAUCGAAUUCACAGACUAACCUUACAAUGAGUUUAGGUUACUGUUGUUGCUGUUGACAAUGCCAAAUUGCCAAUGAAGAAGAAGGAGGAGUGUGGGCCGAGCUGGGCGGUGAAGGGAGGAAGAGGAGUGGAGGACGGCUGACGGAGGAGAGCUAGUUAGAUUGCACGGCUACUACACAGCCACUGCGGUGGCGGUGUUCCGAUGCCGUGAAGGUGUACUUAAAACACUCAUAAGUAAGUCCACACAACAAUCACUAGCAAGUGGAUUAGCAAGUCAUGUGUAAUGUGUUACAAGAUAUAAAAUAUCGAUGAUAUCGUAGUCCAAAAACACGGAAAUAUCGAUGGAAAUAUCGGGAUUUUAUCGAUAUCGAUAAAAAUAAUGUGGAAACCACGGAAAUUGUAAGAAAAACUUGGAAAUUUUUAUUGAAACUUUGCAGGAUGUUUAUUUAGUCAAUUAUCUAUUAGUUUAUCACAAAAAAUUGGAAGGAAAUGCAUUGCAUGAUGAAUUUAACUGAUUUAAGUUGAUUAUAUAGCGAGCUGGCAAACAUUGUGAGUAUAGAAAAUAUGUAGUAAUUAAUGAAAGAAGUUUAAACACACCAUAAUCAUUUAUAUAUAAUGAAUUAGUAAAAAAAGAAUUCAAAACAAAACCAUAUAUAUAAAUAUUUUAGCAUAUUUUAGCAUAUUUUCAUAAUAAAAGAAUGAUAAAAUGCAAAAAAAGUAGGGAACUUUAACGAAAAGCACCCGGUACUGUUCACUUUAACGAAAAACCACAUUUUUACACUAAAAAGUCAAUCCUGGUACUAUUCACUUUACCCUUUAUUUUGUCCUUAUCAUUAAAACUCAAAAUUUUCAAGCCAUUUUCAUUAGUUUUCCUAAAAAAGUAUCCAACAAACAAGUCCAAAAUUUAAAAACACAUAAUUUUGACAAAAACAAACGCCUAAGACAAAGAAACUAAAAGAAAGGAAAAACAUAAAAGAAACAAAUAAAUUAAAAUAAACAAAUAAUAAAACAAAAAGAAAAAAAAAAAGAAAAAGGAAAGGGCUCACCUGGAUUCGAAAUCAAGACCUAGAGCCAUGGAAAAAGCGCAUCAAAAAGAAAGAAAAAGAAAAAGCGCAUAAAAAAUAAACAAAUAAUAAAACAAAAAGAAAAAAAAAGAAAAAGGAAAGGGCUCACCUGGAUUCGAAAUCAAGACCUAGAGCCAUGGAAAAAGCGCAUCAAAAAGAAAGAAAAAGAAAAAGCGCAUCAAAAAGAAAGAAAAAUUUGAUGGGCGCAAGGGUUCGAACUGGAGAACUUGGGGAUUGUGAGGACAUGUUGACCAACACGUCCAAGUCCACACUGGUGUCAAUUUUUAGCAACAACUAUAAUAUAUGCGAAUUUAGCAGCUUAUGUUCAUUUCAGAAAAAAAAACCUAGCACUUUCUGUCUUGCCUCGAGCCCAGAGCCCCAAACGGCUCUUUGUCUUUCCGUGUCAGACUUUUCCCAUUCAACAGACAUGGCAUGCACACAUGUCAUGCAUCCAUGUGGUGAACUUCUUAGGAUUCCAAAAUAAAGGCUAAGAUGUGCCCCAUUUUUCCCAUUUCUGAUUACCUUUUAGAAAUCCUAGGCCUCUCUCAGAGAUAUCUCUCAAUAAUUCAAGGACCUCCUUUCAUUUCACUCGGCCCUCUCUUCCCAUUUCUCUCAGACCUCUCUCUCUUUAAGAUCAAAAAAAAAAAAAACAAAUAGCUCUCGUCGGCGCCGUCUCUCUCUCGAAACUCUCAUCUCUCUCCUUUCUCUCUGCACCGAGACCCACAUACACACACGCACACCAUCGUACCUGUUUGAGGAAGACACCCAUCGUCAUCAGCAACCUUGUCUUUCUCCCUCUCAUUCUCGUCUCUGCAACUCGACGACACAGGAACCCUCCGGCGAGUUUCUUGAAUUUCUCCGGUUAGGUAAGCUUUGGUUUUACCUCAUUCUGUUCUAGAUUGAAGCUUAGAUGUGAAAUUUAAGUUCUAUCUCAUGUUUUUGCAAGGUUUUUGGGACGAAAUCGGCUCGGGAAUAGGCACACCCAUCUCCGGCGAGGCCGUGGGUGUCAACGAACUUUCCGAACACCUCCGACCGUUUCACGGCAAACAAAAGUUAUAAAAACAUUCCUCUCGUCUUGUAUUUCAUUUUGAUACCUAGAUCGGAGUCUAGGGUGCUCUUUUACAGUCGGCCGGAGCUGUAGAAGCUCCGGCGUUCUUCUCCAAUUCGCACAUCUCCAAAAUAUCGCGAUAUUGUCGAUAUUAUCGAUAAUGUUGCGAUAUUUUGACGAAAACUCAGUGGAUAAGUAUUAAAAUAUCGGUAACUCAAAAAACUGAUAUUAUCGAUGAAAUAUCGCCGAUAAUAUCGGCAUUUCAUACCUUGUGUGUUACCAUAUAAGUGAACGACAUGUGUCGCAAUGUAAAAUGGGCACGUAGAGUAUAUAUCAUAUUAACAAAACAAAAUUAUUAUAUACAAAUUAUCUAUUCUAAAAUUGAGGAAGGCUUUGACUGUAGCUUAGCUACAGUAAAAAAUUUCCCCCUUGAUUUUGCUGUAUUUACCCACUGUUGCCACCAAAUCUGUGUUGGGCUGGGGUAAUUACUAAAAGUUAGGAGGGUAAUAUUGUCCGUAGGUGCCCUAGGCCUAUUUUUGGGUUGCUGAUUUUGGGCCAGGUGUGUGCUUCGGAAGUGGGUUGUCCAAUGUGCUGGGUUGCGUUGCACAGAAAGAGUCAAAAUGACUCUUUUGCCCUCUUCAAACCAGAUCUAACGGACAGGAUCUGGAGGCACUUUAGUCAUUCUGUGUUUAGGGGUGGUUGUUGUCGAUGUCGUCAGAGGCAUGGUUGUCAGAGGGGUUGAUGGGUUACAGGUAGAAAGAGAGUUGACGAGAGGGGUUCCGGGUGGACAGAGUAGGGUUUGGGUGCAGGAUUACAGGGAGAGAAGGUGAGAGGGUGGGUGCGGUCAUGUUCGAUUUGGGGGUAAGGUUCUGGGAAAGGGACGCGUGUUUGCUGCAGAGAAAGGGGGAGGUAUGGUUUGCCCAGGGGGUGGGGUUGUGGGGAAGGAGGUGUAGGUUGAGGUGCGGGUGUAGGGUUGGUUAUUUCCACACCAAACAUCAUCAUCCUCUUUUCAGUAAAUAGAAUUAGUACCAGCUGAACAGAGUUCCUCCCUGCAACUCCUCCUCCAUUACUGCAUUCGAAUUUUCUACAAUGGUGAGUAAUUCAAACGCUUCUUUUGUUCGAUCGUGUUUAUUUAAUUUAAUUUGAAUUCUUUCCGAUUUUGUUUUCGGUGUAUGGGUUAUGAAUUUCCAUGUUUUCGGUAUUUAUAUGCAGCUGAUUGCUUUCCUCGCUUUUUAUCCAUACCGUUUGGUUCAAAGAAUGAAAACACGCAUUGACCUGAGAAAUCUUAAGAGUUGUUUACAAAUUAGUAAUUAACUUUGUAGUGUGGAUUGCUGGUGUUUUGUUAUACUCUAUACAAAGGCUCUUGAUUGUUCCUAAUGGUUCUCUUGCUUAAUAAUCAGGUGAACAUAAAGGUUUAUGUGGAUUUACGUGUUGGUGAUGUUAUUCGUUUUGGGCUGUGUGAGUAUCUCCUUAUCUUAACUCUCACUCUGCAACGCGAUUGACCAUUUCUUCGAUCUCUGUUUCGUUUUCUCUUCAAUCCUGCUUUGCAAUCUCCGUUGUUCACCCCACCUUCUCAUCUCCGUUGGUAUUUCCACCAACCAAUGAAGAGCCCGGAGUUUGAACAUGAAAUGGCCAGGAGGCCGCCCAGUGCAAGGUAGCUUUUCUUUUUUUACUUUUCUGGCUGAAAUGUCUAUGUGGGUUUGACCUAAUUACUGCAAUUGAUAAAUUAUUGGUUUUGGUUGAUGGUUUACCUUGCGUUGGGUUUUUCUUAUGGGUUUUGCUUGCAUUUGGUUUUGGCAGGUAUAUUUGAUCUCCCUUGCACACCUCGCCUUCUCAUCGUCGUCGCACACCUUACCAGAACUUGAAUCAAUGGUAACGUAUAAAUUGUAUAAAUUGUAUGGAUUGCACGCCUAUUUUAAUCUUCGUUAACGAAAUUAGCGUUUAAGUUGAAUAAUUCAUGCUCUUUUGAUAUUGGAAAUUAGGAUCUGAUUUCUCAAUCCUAUGCUUCUUUGCUGUAUAAGAUGAGUUUGGUUAUAUUACUCAAAAACGGGAUAUUUUUUUUUCAGUGAGAAAGUGAAAAUCCCUAGCCUUUAGAUUUUCAAGUAUUUUGUCAGCAAUAAUAAUUUGUUUUUUCAGUUUUAUAUGUGUGUCUGUCUCCAAAUAUGAGGAUCUCUUAAUUUGCUUAUGUAGCUUUUGUGGUAUGAUGAUCUCUUAUUUUGCUUUUGCAUAUCUUCUUUGCUUCCUCUGCUAGCUCUAUAUGUGAUUCUAUCUCCAAAAAAUUAUUCCAUAUUUCCUAUUUUUAUAGGAACCAAAUCAUUGAAUACACAUGGAAAAUUAAAAGGGUUUUAGUUUUUGGAUUGGUUUAAAUUUUGUUGUUGUUAUUGGUUGUAUUGUUGUCAAAUAUUUGAUGGGAAGUUUGAAAUGGAGAACUUGGUUGAUUGGGACAGAGAGAAUCUGACAGCUGUAGACUCUGAUUUACUGGCUUCGCAAUGGAGAAGUUAUUUCUCGGUUCACUUCCGCAGCGUAAACCAACUUCUCUGUUCAGUUCUCAGAUAUGAGGUUUCUGAGCUACCUCUUUUCUGGAAUGAAACAUUUGAAUAGU
rnacentral:lncRNA from 1 species